rnacentral:lncRNA from 1 species
ACAGGCUCGGGAUCCCUCGCAGCGCUAGGGGCCGCAGCCCCGGUCGCCGGGGAGUGCCAUGGCAGGGAGGCGGCAGCCACGUGAGGGGUCUGCGGAAGCGCCGGAGCUGAAAGCUGGGGGCGAAGCAUUUUAUUAAUGCUUUUACGAGUUAGAAGAGUUGGGAUAAUUUGCCAUCUGGAGUUUCUCUGCCUUGCUGAUCUGAGCUCAGACCUGCCAAUUUACCAGAGAUAAUUGAUAACACCCUGUAACAGCUGAGAGGAAAAUGGAAGAAACGGAGAUACUUUUAGUGAAGCAGAAUAAACCACUGAACAGGAAAAAUGAGGAAGCUGUGAGUACCAGUGGAAGGAACGAGCCAGGAAGAGGGACUGGAACCAUCUCAGAAGCCAUGCCCCUCAGGCUGGAACUUGCCCUGUCUCCUCGCAGAUGAGGUAGGAGGCUCAGCACGGGCUGGUGGGAGCAGCCCACAGCAGCAGUGAGGGUCAGUGGGCCUGUGAGUUAAGAAGAAGGUGGCACAGAGCGAGGGUCUCUGGAUCCUGACUGUUUGACUUUUCCAUGAUUAGGAUAAGUAGCCAGGGCUUGGCUAGUUGGAGAGUUACUCGAACCUCAGGUGACAGUUGUAAGGCAGCACAUAGUGAAAAAGAGUCCUAGCCUGGGAAAGUCCAAAACCUUAGGUCUGGUUUCAGUUCACUCACCUAUCUCUGUGACAUAGCAAAGUCUGUUAAUUUCUCUAAUUUUCUGAUUAGUAGUAUAGUUGCAGGAAUGAAAUAAAAAUGGUCCUGAUUACUCAGAGAUUCAUUUACUGAUUACUCUUUUUGUGACCUGAAUAAAGAGUACAACAUCUCUCAAAAGGUAACAAUAUGAUGUUUCAGGAAAUUAGAGAAGUUAAGAGACUUUGCUGUAUUUACUAUACAGAUAGUUGACUGACAGCUGAGCCCGGACCCAAGAUUCAUUUAUAAAAUGAAGGAGUUGAGAAGUACAUACUCUGAGGUUUAUCCUAAAUAAACUGAAGUCUAGGCAAGUGGCUGAGCUAGGUUUGCCAUGAAUCAAUCUGCUGAGUAUAUUUCUUGGUAACUAGUUCAUCUUUCCUUAAUUCAGUCAACAAAUAUGAUAUCAAGUUUAGUAAGAUGAUGACAGUUGUCAUGUAAUACUCCAUCUGGAAGAUUGUAUGCUUCUCAGCUUCCCUAACUUUUCUUAAUCUACCUUAAGCUUCCUUUCUGAAAGGUUUCUGUCUUUCCUAACAGUCUCUUCUUUCCGCCAGCUACCUCUUGUGUUUAAGAAUUAAAGGAAGAUGAGCUAGGAAUCAAGAAAUACGCAGAACUGAUUCCUGUCACUGGCGCCACCCUGCCACUUGCCCAGAGCUGUGGUAUAAAUUUUUUUAAUAGGCUGAAAUAAAAAUAUGAAUAGCAUUUUGGUAUUAAGCAUUAAAUUGAUAAAGGCUAUGAGAUACACCUGCUCUCAACCAUGUUAAUUUUUUAUUAUUGGUAUUAAUAAAUUAUUACUUACUAACAUAUUAACAAGAAUUGCAUUGAGAAACAAAGCAUCCACAGGCCAAAUCUUCUGAAUUUCAAAUGUUUAUAUUAAUGCGUUGUAUUCUAGAAAAGUAGAAUUGUCUUAAGUAGCUUUGUAAUAUAAAGUCAUCUAUCAGCCCAUUACACCUAUUAGAAUGUUUUAACCUUUAUUUCCCACUUUUUUGUUUCUAGACUGAGUGUACUUGGUCUGGUAUUUGUGGCAUAACUUACGGAACACAUAAGAAUGAUACAGAUACUAUUUAAUGAUGACCUAAUACAAGCUUAGAUAGCUAAGGUGAAAGCUUCUAUGGCCUUAACAUUUUCCUCUUGAAGAAUGUAUUUUCUGUAAUAAAAUACAGUGGCUACUUGAAAUCUAUAAACUUAUGUGAGGUCUGGAUAAAUCUGAGCAACUUUCUUCUUUGUGCUCCAGGAACCUACGCACUAUAUAUAUAAAUAAAGCUUAAGUAAACAUCACUGCAAUCUGUGUUUUGUUUGAUUAUAUUACGUAUUGCCUGAUCUUUAAAUAAUGAUGAAAAAUAGCCUUUAACAUAAACCAUGAAUGGAUAUGCACUUGAGGGAAACAGUUUCUUGGAUAAUUAAACUUUAAUUUCUCACCGUGGAUUCCUUGGAUCUUGUAAUAUUUUUUAAAACAGUCCUGGGGAUUUAUUUUUAAGGCGUCCAAAUGAAUUAUUAGUUCUCAAAAGCCAUAGUAUAUUCAUGGGUCGAUAUAUCCUCAAAACACUAUUUUUAAACUGCUUAGUUUAUUUUUCUUAGCGUGCUCAUCUGCUGCAUAAUUUUCUUUGCUAUGUAUGGGUCACAUGCUUCCUCCCGUCCAUAACUCACGCACUUAAAAUUCUCACUUCCUGAUUGAGCCAUCAGAUUACGUAAAAUGUAAAUCAGCCUGAAUACCUAGGAGCAGGAAUUUUAAGGGAGAAAAUGCCGUUUUCUUUUUCUGUGUCAUUAUUAACCCUUAAAUAUCAGAGUGAGUGUCUGCUCACCUAUUUGUAUUUGGAAACGAGAUACUGUUAGGGGUUUUUCUUGGCCCUUCCCUUUCAGAUUGAAUCAGACUUUGCUGCUUUCCUUAUACAAAAUAAUGUACCAACUAGAUAGACGGUGGGAGUGGUAUCGUUGCAGGAAUGAAACCAAAAGGGUUCCGAUGAUUGAGAGAGAUUCAUUUAUUUUUUAACUCUUCUCAUGAUCUGAAUGAAGAGUACAGCAUCUAUCAAAAGGUAACAACCUAAUAUUUCAGAAUUGCAAGUGGCCAUUUAGCCUUUCUGCUGCCUGAUAUAAAUGAAAGUAAUUCCUAGCAGGCAGGAUGACACUUGUUUUAUCACGAAUCUGACAAUCCAGCACAUUUUCUCAAGCAAUUUUGAAGUUGUCGUAGUAACAGCAUGGCAUUUGGAGGGUCUUUUUAGUAGUUCUUUAGCUAGAGUUAAUUAAUUGUAUUAACUCUGGAUGUUUUUCUUUUUACUCCUCUUUGACAAACAAGGGCUAUAAUUGCUCAAAUAUGUAUUUUGUGUUCUAUAUUUUUUGGUGACUAUAGUUUAAGGACGUGAUGUUUUUAAGUGGUUUCAGUAAAAGGUUAUCAGUUGAUUUCAGACACAUUAAACUUGGGUUUUUAAUUUCUCUGUAAAAUUCCACUAUCAUUGUAGGACCAGGAUUUAGUUUUAUUUAAGAAGUGAAUCUGGGGAGAUAUUUGCACAAAUUGAAUUGUGGCUUGCUUCCAGUGGUUGCAACUAUCCGUUGCUUUGAUUUUGGUGUAUUUAGAAAAAGAACUGGGGAAUGCAGAAAGGGAAAUGUGUCAGGCUUACAGGAGAAAAUUGUUUCUUUAGAAAUGCAACAGGCAGGCACACCACCAAAAGCAUGUUCCAUAAAAGAAAACAAAUAAAUUUGAUUUUGUGAAACUUAAGAAUGCAGUGCUCUUUGAAACUCUAAAAUAUACUUAAAUAAAUUCUCCCCUAGGAAGAUUUGUGGGAACUUUUUAUUGGUGGAAAGUAGGUUGGAACUUCUAGUAUUAAUAGUAAAACUCUGUGGCAGAAAUUCUUGCCAAUAUGGCGGUUGGUGAGAAAGGAAUCCCGUUUCUUGGGCAGGGAGAGGGUCAGAAGAAAGAAUUGUCUGUACUCAGUCUGGAUGCCGGGACUUAAAAAGUAUCAGAUAUACAAUGCUUUUGUUUUCUUGUAUAAGUGAACAGAGAGAUGUGACACUUCUAAAAGGUCUUGUGAGUUUUGUGGGUUUAAUGCUAAUGCCACUAUCCUUACUGUUCUGUGAGUAUUUGUUCAGCCACGGGUGAUUCAAGAGAGUUGGGGUAUCAGCAUGUGCAGCCAACAGCAGUCCAGGUGCUAAUGCACCACCGGUGAUGUCAGGAGUUACGAGACAGCGGUUUCCAAACACUGCAGUAAACAAGGUCAAAGUGUCCCGUUUCGCUGGAAGAAGUUUUGUUUUUAUGAGCUGGACAGUACAUGGAUGAAGUAAUUUUUCAAAACAAACUUUAAAUUUAUACAUGUGUUUUUUUUCUUCUUCUCUUUGGAUUAAAAUAAAUUGGCCCGUUGAGAUUAAAUAAUGGUUAUGUUUUUAAGCAGAAUUAUAUUUCAUAUGUUUUUCCAGUCUUUUAUUGAUUUUCUGUUUUUCACAGAAGAAAUGAAAAUAACUUCUGAUGUAGGGUUUCUUAAAUGCAGUUUGAGAGAGCAAGAUAGGAACCAGUACUUUCAAAAUAUGGCAAGUGCAAGUCACAAUCCCUAGUAAGAUAUUCCUUCUCAUUUUGUGCCUUUGACUCUUAUUUAGACAGACGUUUAAGUACGAGAAAGCUAAUGGCGCAGAUUCUGCUGACUGUGUGGCUCUCGUCUUAAUGCGUUUUCCAACCUUGAACCUGAGAAUGCCAGAGGAUUGAGUCUCUGGACGUUCAUCUGAGCAGAUAUCUGCUGGCCGCCUGGUUCCUGAGCUAACAAGUGGGUGUCCCGGGCUUGUGUGUGUAGUCACAACAGUGGAGGUGCCACGUGGCACCCAGAGGUCGACUGGGGCUACCGCGGGGCUUCCCGAUCCUCACAAGUGUGUCUUCAGUGUCUGACAUGAACUGGGAACUUGGGGCAUCUUUAGAAGCACAGACAUUUGGAGUUCCACGGCAAACCUGGAUGUAAGCACUCACACAGCUUUUAAAGUGAAAGCAGGGACCUUGAGGAAGGAAUCGCCGUCAUCUCAUUGCCGACCUGCUUACUGUGCUGGGAAACAAAGUAAGUUCUGUUUGUUUCUUUGUUAGUCUCUCCUGCGUGUUUUUUCUUGCUAAUGUUAUUAGACACUCAAUAUCCGGCAAAUGCCAAGUUUUUUCCCCUUCAUUGGGAAGUAGGAUAUAGUUUAUUCAAUAGCUGAUUGCUUCUUUUAUCUUUUCCCUCUUCCCAUAUCUAGUGUGCCGGCUUGCUGUUUAGAGAUAGGAAGAGAUUGAAAUUUAUUAUCAAGGAGAAAACAAAAAGUGUUUUGUUUUGUUUCUAAAUGGUCCAAGAACUUUGCCAUUAGGUAAAUGACUAUGACACAGACAAGGCGUUUUGCAUGGUAUGACCAGGAGCACCUCUAGCAAAACAGCCCCAGUUCGCCGCCCUGAUUUCCAUUUGGAAGCAGGCACAGUGGGUUUCCCCAGGACCGAUGUUAACGCAGAGGGUCCUUGUGCAGGAAUUGUGCAGAAACUAGGUGGGAAGGUGUCACAGACAAGAGGCUGCAAUUUAAAAACGCAUCAGGAAAUGGAAAAGAGCUGCGAGAAUAUCAAUUAUUUAAUGAUGUUGAUAAAAACAAAUUUAAUAUAAAAAUGAGAUACAAUGUAUAGAGACCUAACCCUGUCAACAGCAACUAAACUUUACUUUCAUGUUAGAAAGUUUUGUGCCAUGUAGAUUUAUGGAAAAUGUGCUUAAUUGCCUCUAGAAAAUAAUGAAGAGGCUUCGUCACCUCCAUAGAAGAUCCUGUGACACUAGCCUAAUUCUGACACAUGGCUCCUGUUUUCCAUUUUGUUUGUUUUUUUAUGCUGAUCCUCUCUCCAGAGAUGUGAUGUGGAUUGAUUAACUUGUAAUAUAAAGUUCUAUGGUUUCUGAAAAUGCAGAGCAAAUAGAGAUGAAGAGUGGUUUGUGAUUUGUUAUUAAAUGAUCUUCCCUUCUACAUUUAGGACUGAUUUUUACUGUAGAAUUUUUUUUUUUUUUUUUUUUUUUUUUUUUUGUCAACUUGAACAGCAAUACCUUGAAGGUAAAAGGUGGGAGCACGACUGGAGUGUGGAACUGGAAAGCAGAAACCAGGGGUGUUACUUCUAUGUCUAGUAUGGAAUGUUGUGAAUUUAAGUUAGAGCUUCUGUGUCCUGGGAAUUCAUAUUUUAUCUCAAAGUGGUGCUGAUAGGACUGGAGGUAGCUGUAUUUCAUUUGAAACAUUCCAGCCUCUUUAUAGGAAUAUCUGUGAAUUUUUAAUUCAGCAAACAUCUUUAAGUGUGUCAUUUAUGUAUAGCGUUGUAGUCAGAGCUGUAAUUGUUUCACCAUUAAAUUUACGGAAAUUCAGUUUGUAAGUGAAAAAUUAAGAACAGUUUGAAAGAAGGGCGAAUGAGCAGAGCAUUGCCAUCUAAACAGUCUUGUUAAAGAUAGUGCCAAGUGAGCAGGACUGUCCCUUCUAAGCUGCCCCUCCUAAUUAAAGGGAAAGGUGGCUGCCAUCUGUCUUCUUUCAUUCAAGGCAGUAGGGGGUCUAGGGUGGAAGGAAGCAACCCCCACUUUAUUUUUCUCCCACUCUUUUUUAUAGUCAGCUUUCUCCCUAGUCAGUGACCCAGAAGGUCAUUGAUGAUCUGUCUAUCUCAGAAUGAAUAGUAGCAUAAGCACGCUUGGCACUUGCAAAAAAAAGAAAGUUUAUAACAUGCACUGAUCCAUUUAAAGUUCUGCUUGAAUUAUGUCUGAGAGUAUUGUAAUCUCUGUAUUGGUGUCUCUGCCCUGUUUGUUACCAAGGGCACUACUGGCAGGAAAAGUGGGGAGUUUUACUUUUAUUGAUUUUGCUUUUUCAUGAAAAAAUGUUUACACUCCACUGGGCAUAAUCAGAAGAUGGCAGCACAUGGCUAUGUACAGGAGAUGUGGGGAUGUACAGGAAUAUUGUUCUUAUCAAAAUCAAGGACACCUAUUAAUGAUGAUACAUAUAUGUCAUCUCAGGGGAAAGCAUGAACAAGCAUGGCAACAGAUGUCCAAGUUACUCAGUGGCCUGCUGCAGCUUUUUGGACCAGUUAUUGAAAUAAUUCACAUUGUUUAGCUUUUGUUAAGCAAUAAGGCUUUUAGCCUUUUUCUUGUAAGAAUACGUUGCAGGAGAGUUUAGUUUGGGGUCAUGUCUUCAUUGCUUUGGAAAUGUAGAAUAGUCCUCCAACAAAAUGACUGCAUUUGCUUGCCUUCGUUUCCACCUCUGUAAAUAGAAGAAAUAUCUGCUGUUUUUAUAAAUAUAUAAGAGAAUAUGAAAUAUUUUCCAUCUUUCAUAAGAACUGUGUUAUAACUGAAAAAUUCUCAAAUCUUCAGUUAUGUUUAUUUUCAAUUUUUACACACUUAAGCAAGGUGUUAACAGUCUUCUAAAGAGAUUCAGUUGUUACAAGCCUUGUUUAGUUCCCAAGUAGCAGGUAUGGACUUCUCAGAACAUACUGGUUUUUAGAACUCUCUUUGUGACACAGAAGUGUGGUAUUUCUUAAACCCAUAACAAUAUAUUUGGAGAGCUCAAAUGUGAAAGUCAUGUCUGUAAUUUUAUUUAGAGCUUUUUUUUUUUUUUUUUUUUCCAAAUUUGUCACCAACUUGCAACGAGCUUUCUUGGAAACAUAGACGUGUUUAUGUUGUUGAGUCUUGAGAUGAACAUGUGUGGGCUUCUGACGACACUGAUGCCCAGUUUGUAUGAUUGGAUGAUACCUGAAAAGUGGGUCACUUCCUAGUCAGUGAAGGGUACACAGGGCUGAAUAGGCAGGGCUUUUUGGCUUUUUCCGUGCUUUUGUUUUUGUUUUUGGUGUGUGUGUGUACUAAUUUUAGAUACUCAGCUAGGUACUUGACUGGCUAUCCUUUUUAGCAUGUGAUUUAAUUUGGUUUUACCCAUCAGUAUUUAUUUCAAGGGGACUAAAUAAACACAUUAAAUGAAGCACUUAAGAACUUUCUAUCUUCUUUUGACUAUCCACAGCGGUGGGAAAUCUCUGUCCUUUGAGGGUAGGAGGGAGCCAAUAGUUAGGUCUCAUGAAUAUGGUAGGUGAUCAAACCACUGAUUCAAGUCAUUGUUUCAUGUUAUAAACAUGGACUGAGCCAGCUACUACAUUUCAGUAGAAGGUACUGUAGAUUCAAAAGUGAACAUGGGUCUGGCAUUUCAGAAAGACACAGGUUAGUGAGAUAAAUGACUAUAAAAAGAGGUAGCACUGUAGACUGAUGUCCUGUAACAGAGGUACACGUGUGCUGUUAGAGCCAAGAGGGGGUCAAAAUAAAAAGACAGGGCACGGUGGCUCAUACCUGUGAUCCCAGCACUUUAGGAGGCUGAGGUGGGAGGAUCACUUGAGGCCAGGAGUUCAAGACCAGCCUGGGCAACAUAGAUCCCCAUCUCUACAAAAAAAUAAAAUAAAAUAAAAAAAUAAGCCACACAUGGUGGCAUGCAUCUAUAGUCCUAGCUACUUGGGAGGCUGAGGCAGGAGGAUCCCUUGAGCCCUGGAGUUGAAGGCUAUAGUGAGCUAUGAUCACACCACUGCACUCUAGCCUGAGCGACAGAACAAGAUCCCAUCUCUGAAAAAAUGGAUGAGUGAAUUAAAUUUCAAAAUAGAGAUUUAAUGGAAAAAUGAGAAUUGUUGUGUACAUGAUUUAUGAAGUGGCUUACAUAAUAUAAUUUUGGACAUGAAAGCCCUGAAAAAUAGCUUCUUAUUUUAAGGAUGAACAGACUGGGAUUUAUUUCUGAAAUUCUAUAAUUCUCAGUCAGUUGUAAGGCUUUCAUUAUAUAAUAGACUUUUUUUUUUAACCAACGGAAGUUGGACCUCUUCAAAAUGUGAGAUCCAAAAAGGUUUUGGAUAUUGUUUGAAUAACUCUCUUCUCCAAAGGAGACUGUUUUUGAAAAAUGAUUCUUUCUGACAUGUUAAAAUUGAAUAUUUUUGACACGCCAAAUGCACCAAAGUAUUAUAUGUCAUGUUUAUUGCCGAGAGUAGCUAUAUAGCUUGUGGGAGACAGUUAACGUGAAGCUUUCUUGCAUCUGGAAGUAUGGGGAGAGAGAAGGCUUCUUCACACCCCCUUUCAUGUUAUAUUCUACAGGGAAAGAAUUUCUAUCAUGUAGACACUAGGUGACUCCCUUGUGGAUAAUUUCAUUUAACAAUGAUUUCUGGGUGUUGCUCUAUGCCAGGCACUGUUCUAGGAGCUGAUGCGAAGGCUCAGCUGAUGGGCUACAGACCUGAAGGCCUGUGCUCCUCAGUGGCACUCUGUAGGUAGAUACAGAGCCACCAUCUACUGGGUGCUUCUCCUGAGUGUGACAGUGUAGGCUGGGACACGAUGCUACCCUUCAAGGAGCUUGAAGCUAAGGUUCUGUGCACAGAUAAAAUUAGAAUAAAUGCAGAGAUGCUAUAACAAGAUGUCUUAGAAAAAAGAAAAACAAAGAAUAAAUGCAGAGAGAAAGAGAAAUGUAUAAAAGGUAGAGAGAUAAACAUACCACAAGUUCAUAGAAAAGAAAGGUUGUGUGUUUAUCUGUGGCUGGGAUGAUCAAGAAAUGCUUCAUGGAUAAAGAGCCUUUGAGCCAGACAUUGAAAGAAAGGUAAUGUUGGACUUGAGGUCUUGGAGUAUCCUCGUUGAAGGAAACAUGAGCAAAGGCAUAGGUAGGGAUGGGAAAUGCCGGGGUGCAGAGUGGGCAGGAAUCGAUUUGUAGUUGCUGGGCAAUGAUGUGUGUAAACCACUAAGGAGAAGAUCAGGUAGCAAAGGUCCUUGGAGGCCAGAACCCAGAGGGCCUUGAAUGGCACGUGACUAAAUGAUUUAAACUUAAGUUACUGGGGAGCAAUGGAAGAAUUUGAGUGGCUAGAGUCCCCAUCCUGAAGAGGCCUUGCGGGGAUCAGCAUGUGGGUGCCUCUGGACUGUGAAAUAGCCAGAGCUGGGAAGCCUUUUAGAGCUGCUGUUGUGGUCCAGGAGGGAGGUGGGGAGGGCCUGGGUGAGGGGAAGGCCACUAGAUGGAGAAAUUGAAUUUAUGAGAUGGGAUUUAGGAACUGCCUAGAUAAUAGGGGUUGGCCGAUGGGAAGCAAAAAUGCCCCCAGAGCUUUGAACCCAGGUGCCAUUCAUUAUUUCUAUGCCAUCUGCCAGGCAUUGCAUAGCUAUUAUCUCAUUUAAUCUCCUCCUAAUCUUGUGGGUUGGUAUUUUCAUCCUUAUAUCAGAGACGAGAAAACUAAGGGUCAGAGAAAAUUAGCAAUUGGUCUAAAAUUGUACAGUUGUAACAGGAUCUAGAACAGGGACUUCAGUACAGGCCUCCCUGACCCCCAAGCCUGUGUUCUUUCUACUGUACUAGGCUUGGAAGACAGCGUACGUGAGAGCAAAGACAAGCUCUGUCCACUCUGUGCAUAUUCAGUGUAGGUGCUGGUGAGAUUCCCGCCUUCAGGUGUCCAGCAAGUGGUUGGAGACAUGGAGCCGAAUCUCAAGGACAUUGGGAGGAUUGAAGGUCAAGGCUUAAGAACCAUCUGCAUCCUCAUUUAUUUAUUCAGCAGCUAUUUGUUGUGUCUUCGUGGACCAGCUUGGCAGCAUGAAUGCUGUGACCAACAAGAGAGGUGUGUCCUUCACGGAGCUGCCAGGCUGGGAGGGAGCCCUGAUGGCGUGGCUUGAGUGUAAGGCAGGAGGUGUGCAGAUUGGCUGUGGGAACUUACUGGCCUAACCUUGUCAGGUCAGGGAAGCUCUCUAGAGGCAGUUGUGGUUCUCAACAUGAGACUCAAAUGAUGAGGACCCAGUUAAAAAGUGGGAAAACAGCAUACCCCAGGCCGUGGAAGUAGCGCGUACUCAGGCAGAGCAAGAUAAGAACACAGUGUCUUUAAACCAAAAACCACGUGUGGCUGGAAUGGAGGGAAGAGCAAGGAGAUAAGACAGGUGAGCAGGAACCAGAACAAGAAAUGCCCUGGAAGCUGUGAGACGCUUGGAAUUCACCUGUGAAGAAAAGAGUAGCCUCAUCUGAAUUCCUUGCCUCGAUUAUGGUCUCCAAUAGAAGAUUAAAUGGCUGUGGAGUCUAGAGGUUUUUUCCUUCGGUGUGGGCAUCACCCCUUCUGAAAGGAUGGUGUAAUGGCUAAUUGUAUGUAUCAGCUUGGCGAGGCCACAGUACCCAGAUACUUGGUCAAGCACCAGUCUAGAUGUCGCUGUGCAGGUAGUUUUUUAGAUGAGGUUUAACAUUUAUAUCAGUAGAAGGAGUGAAGCAGAUUAUCCUUUGUAAUGUAUGUAGGCCUCAUAUAUCAUCAGUUGAAGGCCUUAAGAGAAAAAGAUUGAAGUCCCUAAAGAAGAAGGAACUCUGUCUCCAGUCUCCCUUCAGACUCAAGACUGCAACAUCGGCCUGGCACGGUGGCUCACGCCUGUAAUCCCAGCACUUUGGGAGGCUGAGAUGGGUGGAUCGCUUGAGAUCAGGAGUUCAAGACCAGCCUGGCCAACAUGGCAAAAACCUGUCUCUAUUUAAAAACACAAAAAUUAGUUGGGCAUGGUGGCAGGCGCCUGUAGUCCCAGCUACUUGGGAGGCUGCGGCAUGAGAAUCACUUGAACCCAGGAGGCAGAGGUUGCAGUGAGCUGAGAUCAUGUAACUGCACUCUAGCCUGGGCGACAGAGUGAGACUCUGUCUCAAAAAAAAAAAAAAAAAGACUGCAACAUCAACUCUUCCCUUGGUCACCAGCAUGCCCUGAAGAUUGUGGAUUUGUCAGUCCCUGUAAUUGCAUGAGCCAGUUCCUUAAGGUAAAUAUCAGUAUCUACCCCCACCCCCACCACUCUCUCUCUCAAUCUCAAUCUCAGUCUCUCUCUCUCUCAAUCUCAAUCUCCCUCUCAAUCGCCCUCUCCCUCUUCCUCUUCCUCUCCCUCUCUCCCUCUUGGUUCUGUUUCUCUGGAGAACCCUGACUAAUGCAGAUAGGAAGAUAAAUAAAUUUAAGUUGUUUGGCUCCAGUUGGUAUUAGCAGAAAGCUGCAUCAGGCUUCUCUAGGUGUUCUUGGUGUGUGCGUAUAUUGCUUUUUGUAUAGAUGAGAAUAGUGAAAUAUAGAAGGGAAGUGAUGUACCCACAGUCAUGCAGACAGUUGAUGGGAGAGCCAAGGAGAAAACUCAAGUUUCAAACCUCUGGUGUAGUUCAGUCGCUUUCUUGCUAUUUGGCCCUCAUGUUUUUAUUAGCAAGGUAAUAAAGUUAUUGAGUUUGCCAUGCGUAAUUAUUGGUAAUGUUUAUGGAAUGUUCUCUGUAUGUCAGGUGCUGUUUUAGUUGCCCUACAGGUGUUAGUGAUUUUAAUCCUUACAACUACCUAAUGAGAUAGGGAAUAAUACUAUCCCAUUUUACAGAUUUUAAGCAAUGAGUCCAGUGAGCGAUGUGGUCAUUGCUACACAGCUAGUGAGUGACAGAGCUGGACUGAAGACUCAGGCAGCCUGGCUGCAGAGGUUGUGCUAUUGACUACUCCACCGCUUCUCAGCUUAAUGCCCCGAGCACAGCUUUUCAUCUCUCCCUUUGGAACCAUUGUCCAGAAUAUUUAUUAUGGUAGUGUGCUCUUGGUAGGGCUUGUAUUGAAAGAGAAAAUGCUUAUAAGUUAUUUUUCAAGAGACCAUCCGAUAAUGCUUCUUAGCUCCUUGAAAAACAGAAAACAUUCCCAUUACAGCAACACUGUAGACCACCUGCUGGAGUAUAUUUUUAGCAACUAGACUUUGCUGUCUAGCCUAGUGACACUGGUGGGCAUCUGAUUUGCCCAGGGUCAUACAGGAGCGUGAUAAAGUGGUGAUAUGAGUUGGCUCCUGGUUCAGCAUUUUGGGGUGUGUUCUGGGGGAGAAAAUAGCAAACCUCUUUGUGUGUGUCCCUUGGAUCUUUGAGAGAACAAUCAUCAUAACUCCCAUUUAUUAGGUCUGUUGGGUGCUAGAUGCUGUUGUAAGUGCUUUAUAAACAUUGUCUCAUGGAAUCUUCUCAAUAGCCCUGAAAGGCUGGCAUUACCAUCCCAUUUUACAUAUAAAGUAAGCAGUGAUUAGGGAGUGACAUUUCCAAAGCAAGUAGCAGAACCAAGGAUUAAACCUCAUCUGAAUGACUCCAAGCCAGUGCUCUUGGUCACUUGGCUAUGUCUAUACUGGGUGUCUGUACUGGACCUCUCUCUGUAUAUACUGGGUAUCUAUACUGGAGCUCACCAUUCUUCCCCAUAGACUAUGAACUCCAUAAGGGACUUUCUCCAUUGAUUCACCACCAUACUUCAGCACCUGCCAAGUACACUACCUGACACACAGUAGGUACUUAAUGCACAUACAGUCAUGUGUCAUUUAACAAUGGGGAUAGGCAGUUUUGUCAUCGUGUGAACAUCAUAGAGUGUAUAUACAUAAACCUACAUGGUAUAGCCUACUACAUCCCUAGGCGAUAUGAUAUGGCCCUAUUGCUCCUAGGCCACAAACCUGUGUGGCGUACAGUACGACUGUACUGAAUACAUUGUAACACAAUGGUAAGUGCUCAUAUAUCUAAACAUACCUAAACAUAGAAAAAGUAAAGCCCUGCAGUGUGUUACAGUGGCUACAGUGUCACUAGGCAAUAGGAAUUUUCAGCUCCAUGUAAUCUUGCGGGCCCACCAUCAUGGGUGCGGUGCACCAUUGACUGAAAUGUUAUGCUGCACAUGACUGUAUAUUGAGCGAAUAACAGACUCAUUGUGUUCUCUGUGAUCGCUUCCGAAUGGCGAGAGGGCCAGGGCCAAAGGGCACAGACCUGUGAGUGUGUUAUGGACUCAUGUGGGUUUAGCCUUCACGAUAUAUAUGAAUAUAUCAUAAUGUGUGUAUCUAGUGUGUGAAUAUAUAUCAUAACUUAUCCACUUUAUGGAUAUCAUAAUUUAUCCAUUUUAGUGAUUCCAGGACAUUUUGUCUAUCUAUGCUUUUUUUUUUUUUUUUUUUUUUUUGAAAUGGAGUCUCACUCUGUCACCCAGGCUGGAGUGCAAGUGGCACAAUCUUGGGUCACUGCAGCCUCUGCCUCCCCAGUUCAAGCGAUUCUCCUGCCUCAGCCUCCUGAGUAGCUAGGACUACAGGCACAUGCUACCACACCCGGCUAAUCUUCGUAUUUUUAGUAGAGAUGGGGUUUCACCAUGUUGCUGGUCUCAAACUCCUGACUUCAAGUGACCUGCCCGCCUCAACCUCCCAAAGUGCUGAGAUUACAGGCAUGAGCCACCGUGCCUGCCCUCUAGCUAUGCUUUAAGGCAGGCCUAUCAGCCCAGACUGGAGUCAUGUAAUACAUGGCUCUGUCAGUAGCUCUCCUUCCCACAAAUAAGUUUUGAUGAUCUUACACUCAUCCCUGCCAUUAGCAUUCAGGACCAAUCUUCUAUAGCCUAUACGCCACACUGGUCUAGGACAGCACCUAAAUAAUACUCAUGCUAUAAAAAAUUCAUCAAGUUAUAUAUUUUUAAAAACAUCCCUAAAAUUAUCUUUUUCCUUUACUGAAAAGAAUUUCAGGAUCCCCUCUCUCUCACUGCCUCUCUUCACACACACCUACCUUAGUUGGUCACCUAUUUUGUAAACAUAUCUUCUUUAAAAAAAGAAAGAAAUGGCAGUACAUGAAAAACUGCUUCGUAAACAGAAACUAUAUUAUUUAUAUUUGUAGCAUUUUUUUCCCCUUGAGGUUAAUUUCCUUUGCUUCCCAUAACUGGAAGCCAAUGAUUCAGUGCCAUUAUAUAAGCUUAUUUUCCCUCUUGGAAAUAGUAAAUUAUAAGAGGUUUGACCCAAAAAUAUACAUCAAAAUUAGGCAGUAUUCGGUGUUUAGCCUCCAUCUGCCUUGUCUUCUUGUCUUUAGUUGUGCAAGUAGAUGCUGAUGAUUUCUGGCAGAGCUAAAGUAAGUAAAUCAUGUGAAUUUAUUUUUUUUCCUCAUAAAACAGAUGGCAUGGUCUAGCUCUGGGCUUGUAUGUUUCAUGAAGUACAUGGGUCUGAGUGCGUAUUUAUUUUGUGAGCCAAGGUUUAUGCCUUCUUCUAUAAUUUUCUUUCACCGAAAAUUACCUGGAGAGCUAGAAACUCCAUUUGUGUCAGUGUAAGAAGCUUUAGAAUCUAUAUCCAGACCAAGGCCAUGGAACAAUGUAGAUUCACUCAGUAAAAACUCACUAGCGGCCUUCUUUGUACUAGUCUGUCACCUUUGCUUGGCUUUGGGAAGCUUCAAACUAGGGCAGUUUAUGUUUGGGAGUGACCAGUCAAAUAGCAAGACAGACAUAGGCAAGGAUGUAAUUUUUAAAAAUUUAAGUGGGGAAUGGUGAAGCAUGAAUCAAAACAGAAGGUAGUCUUACCUUCUUGGAACUGUAAAAUAAAUACAUUUGAAAAAGGCACCCUCUCAACCUUCUGCGAGUCAGAAUUUUUGCUGCCACCCCUCAUUUUGAAUCUCUAUUCUGCAUUUUUUAUUCUUUUUUUUAGGAAGGAGGAAGAAAAAUUUCUCCUGAAGAAUUCAUUGGAAAUUAAAAUUAACUUGCGUAUUUUGUAUUCUUUGGAAUGUGAUGAAGACUGAUUUGAAAGGGCAGUGCUGGAUUUGGUCAGGCAUAGGAAAGGAAGACAUGCAGUCGUCCUGCCUAGCUCAUCCCCGCCACGAUGGAGAAGUGGGGUUGCUUUCGUUGUACUUUUUUUCAUUUGUUUCUUGCCAAGCCCAGUGGCUUCUGUUAUAACAUGUGGCAGCUUCUCCCUUGGAGACUGAUUCAGUCCAAGUUACCAUAAUAUUUAGGACCAGCUACAGAGACGUUUCUUCCCCUAAACCCAUGCCAAAUCUAAAUCAAACUAUCUUCUUCUCCUUAGCCGUUCAAAUAGCUCCAGCUCUUAUAUAAAAAUACGAGAAAUACACAGGCCUCUUUUCGUUUUAUUCCUGUUCAAACAGAUAAACAAACAAGGCACAUCAUGCCUAGGUUGCUUUGAGCUUGAUCACUUCCUCCUAAAGCAGUCUUACGCUGUGUUGAUUUUAAGAAUUGCAACUUAGGUGUUCUAGAACAUAUUCUGAGAGCAUAGUCAUAGUCUGUGAUCUCAGAAUAUGUUUGCUUCCUUCUAGAACAUCUGAGUUCUAGAAAUUGCGUACAAUAAACUGCUGUCAGUGCUGCUGGAGGAAGGAAGAGUAACUCUGACAUCACUGGCCUUCAACAGGUGUGGCGCUGAGCUUCUGGGCCUCAGAAGCCCUGACUUCUAGAGGCUGGGGGCCAGCGGGGCAGGGAGGUGAUCUCAUCAUGGAUGGCCACAGAUCAUCCACCUGCCAAACAGUUAACCCUGAACAAGUCAUGUCAAUUUAUUUUGCUUUUAAAAAAGAAAGUCUGCAAAAUAGAAAAAAAAAAAAAAAGAUUCUUCAUAAAUACAUUUGUUCUGAUCUGUAAAUACCCUGGUCAUUUCCCCCUUGGCAUUUGAUACACAUAGUAUAGACAUAUUUUAGUCAUCCUUGCUCAAGUAAUUAUAUUCCAUAACCAACUUUAUUAGCAUAAAUUAACUUCCUCAUAUUUUUAGCAAGAGUUACUUUCCUUCAUUGCUUAGCUUAUUGUUUUGAAAUAUGAAUUACUUCAGCACAGUUCAUUUUUGUGGAUGGCAUUUCUGUCUUUUUAAUUUAUAAUUAUUUGAUAUAUACAAAAGAUGGUAUGUAACAUACAAGUAAACUCUAAAGCACAAUUUUAAAGGUGCUCCAGUGAACCACCAUCCAACUUAAGAAUUGGCUCAUUACAAAUACUUGGAGAUCUCGCUAAGUAUCUUAUUCCUAGCAUUUUCCUGCUUUCCCACUAUUCCGAAAUUUGUAUUUAUAAUUAUCCUGAUUUUUAAACAAACAUAUAUUUUUAUCACAGUGUAAUGAGUAAAUGUGUGUUGCUAAAGGUAUUUUGAGACAUAUAAAAAUAGUAUCGGACUUUGCAUGGUCUUUUUGGAACUUGAGAUUUUCCUCCAUAUAUUUGCAAAAUUCAUCCAUGUUUUCAGGAAUAGCUACAGUUCCUUCAUAUUGCCAGAAUAUUCUAGUGUGUGAAUAUAUCAUAAUUUAUCCACUAUCUUAUUUAUUGAGGGGGGGUGGGAAACAAGGAGCUCUUUUUAUAGACAUGUUGAGUCUGAGAUCUCUAUUAGAAAUCCAUUGGAAAUGAGCAGGCAGGUGGAUGCUGUUAUUCAGGAGAGAUGACUGAGAUGGAACUAACAGCGUGUAGAUGGCAUCUAAAGCAUUGUCUUCCCAACUAUUCUUAGAAUGAUGGGCCAUUUAGCCCAUCAACUGAGAUUUCUGUGUUAACAGUUUUUUGUUUUUUGUUUUUUGUUUUUUAAUUUCUUAAAGGUCUAUCUGGUGUUUUUUGUUUGUUUGCUUUUUCCCAAAUCUGCCUGGUCACUUUGUUCAAGUGUGACUUGUAAGGGAGUAAACAAGGAGAGUAUGAGCUUCAAAGAAAAUGGGGGGAAGUAUUUUGCCAGCUCUCAUGGAGUUUUGUGAGAUCCAAAAGAAAUGCUAUAUGUAAAUUUGCUUUGUAAACUGAAAAAAGUUAUGCACUCAAUUAUUAUAUUUGAUGAUGGCACCUUGUUGGGUUCUGGUUAAUGCCUCAUAUUCACUGAGUGCUUACUUUAUCUAUAUUAACACAUCUCAUCUUUAUAACAAUCUGUGAGAAGUAGGUACUGUAGAUUCAUAUUUUACAGAGGAAAGUACAGCUUAUAAAUGGUAGACCCAGGAUUUGAAUUCAUAGAGUCUGCUUCUAGAAGGUGUGUUCUUAGCUCCAGUGCUAUGCUGUCAUAUUGAUUUCCUGCCUGCCUUCUCCUUCCUUCCUUCUCCCCUCCCUCCCUCCCUUCCUUCCUUUCCUUCUUUUUUUUUUUUUUUUUUUUUUUUUUUUUUUUUUUUUUGAGACGGGGUCUCACUCUGUCACCCAGGCUGGGGUGCAGUAGCAUGACAAUAGCUCACUGUAGCCUUGACCUCCUGGGCUCAAGUGAUCCUCCUGCCUCAACUUCCUGAGUAGCUGGGACUACAGGCACAUCCCACCAUGCCUGGCUAAUUUUUAAAUGUUUUGUAGAGAUGUGGUCUCCCUAUGUUACCCAGGCUAGUCUCAAACUCCUGGACUCAAGUGAUCCUCCCACCUUGGCCUCCCAAAGUGCUGAGAUUACAGGUGUGAGCCACCACACCUGGCCAUACUGUCCUUCUUUAAAUGACAGGUUUCUUCCCACUCCUUCAGCUUCAAGAGUACAAACAUUUUAGGGUCACAUUUCAGCAUGUCCACCUUGAACCCAGCUACAAAAAUCCUACCCCAGGCAGUGGGCCCCCAGCAAAGGGCUGUGUGUGCUGACCUAGUUUCACCACCGAACCCAGCCCCAGACCUCACAGGGCACUGCUCACCUGCCAGGUGCCCACUCUGUGCUUGUUGAAGAUGGUGUCUUCUUGAUUUCACUUAUUUGCCUGAAGCCACCCAAUAAGUCAGUAGUGGGCCAGAGAAUAGAAACCAAGUCUCCUGCCUUUCAAGUGUCACAUUUGUUUUGUGUUAAUAAGCUAUAUACCUCCAGGGGAUCUGGCAGAAAUUUGAAGGUGGUUAAUUUUACUGCAAUAAAUACUUAAGAAUCCUUUUUAAAGCAAAGAAGUCAAGCCCCCGCCAGGGAAAACACAAUCUGCUCUGAGGGCCUUUGACAAACUGACAUGGGCACUAGGACUAGGUCAUGGAUCAUUGGCCCUUGAUUCUGUCUCCCACUGAGCAUCCCAAAGGGGUUGAGACCUCUGCUGGAGCCACUAGGCUUCAGCCGGACCUGGAAAUGUUCUCGCAAAUGAAACUGGAAUGCAUGAUGUCCUGGAUUCAGCGGGUCACAGCUGACUGCCAUCAGGAGGUGUGACGGAGAAGGUUCCAUUUCUGUGACCCUGUGGUGAUACAGGUCGGGACCCAGGCGAAGUAGCUCAGCCAUCUGAAUUGGCACCUUUCUGCUUUUCUCGCUGAGUGACGGGUGCCUUGCAGUUGGCUUCAGAUGUUUGUGAAUGUGCUGUGUUUCCUAAAGCCAUGUCAGUCAGGAAGAAGAUGCAGGUAUUCAGGAGAAGGGAGAAGAAAAUCUGAAUUAGAAACAACGUGAGGAUGGGGAGCACAGGGAGGGAUGGGUUACCUUUGUCAUCAGAAGAACGCCAGGCAGAUUUUAGUCCCUCAGCUAAUAAUACUAUUUGAAAAAUUGAUGGAGAAAUUUAACUGGAAGGUUUCAGCAAGACAAAAGCUGCAUCUCCAAGGCUGGACUCAGCGUGUUCACGUGGGAACUGGGUGUGAGUGUAAUUGUCAGAGGGGAGGGUUGUCACAGGAGGUGCACGAUGUGAAGUCACAAGGGGACGCAUUAUUUCCAUGAGUUCUCACAGUUCCCAGGGCAGCCACAGAUGGUAGUGGUUUAUGUCUGCCUCUGCCUUGACAGAAGGGCAGUAGGCAGUUGUGGCAAGAAAAAUGGACCAAAUGAGGGCUGCACUCAGCAGGUUAAAUUUGCUGUCUGUUAGUGUUCCUAGGUGAGAUGCUUCAAAACUAGAAUGCUCUGCUGGGACUUUUAUUUCCCUUAGAAAUAAAAGGCCAGGCGCGGUGGCUCAUGCCUAUAAUCCCAGCACUUUGGGAGGCCAAGUCGGGCAGAUCGCCUGAGGUCAGGAGUUCGAGACCAGCCUGGCCAACAUGGCAAAACCCCAUCUACUAAAAAUACAAAAAUUUGCUGGGUAUGGUGGUGGUGGGCGCCUGUAAUCCCAGCUACUUGGGAGGCUGAGGCAGGAGAAUCACUUAAACCUGGGAGAUGGAGGUUGCAGUGAGCUGAGAUCGUGCCCCACUGUACUCCAGCCUGGGAAACAGAGUGAGACUCCAUCUCCCAAAAAAAAAAAAAAAAAAGGUUCUUUGUUCACACUUUCUCUGCGCUGCUGCAAGUGACUUUGGUGCCGUUUCCUGCAGCCUGUGUCGGUGGCUGGGACUUUCUCGACAGCAAGGCAGGCCGUGCAUGAGGCCUAUAGGACCCAGGGCUGCCUCCCAAUGCUGACGGCCCUGCGCUGUGUGAGCUUGGGUAAGCCAGUUCGGCUCACUUCACCUCAGGUUCCUUGUUCCUAUGUGGACGGGUUGCUUGUUUGGAGGAUUAAUAAUGAUGGGGAAUGCAAAGUGUGGUUGGUUUUGCUGGGGAAAAGAGCAGGGAAGUAGAGACCUAGGCAGGUGAUGUCACCUCUCUGAUGAACUCCAAGGUCUCUGUCAACACCGGUGCCUUUGUCCUGACAUUGCGGGGUUUGUGGCAUGAUUGGAGAGACCUUGCGUGCUCUCUGGGCAGCCCUUGUUAGUGCCCCCCAACUAGCUGGGAGAUCCAGAGUUUCAUGAGAACCCUCCCUCCGUGACAAAAUCCGCCUUCCUCGCUGUCAGGCUCAGGUUGUCCUGUGCCCCCACUGAGCCUGCUCAUUAUUGAUUAAUGAACUUGUAAAAUGAGAAGUAUUGUUUUACCGGAAGCUACAUGUUUAUGUGGUUGGUAAAAAUGAGAAGAGUUGCUUGAGAACUGGUUCUCCUUUCCAUGAGUAUAUACAAGGUUCAAAUCUGGGCUUUGUGGUUAUAAGACAUGUUGAGUGAAUAAAAAUGAAGGAAAUGCUGGGCAUUUAUCACAAUUUUUUUUUUUUUUUUUUUUUGAGACAGGGUCUUACUCUGUCACCCAGGCUGGAGUACAGUGGCACGAUCUCGGCUCACUGCAGUCUCCACCUCCCAGGUUCAAGUGAUUCUCAUGCCUCAGCCUUCCGAGUAGCCAGGAUCACAGGCGUGGGUCACCGCACCCGGCUAAUUUUUGUAUUUUUUGUAGAGACAAGCUUUCGCCAUGUUGGUCAGGCUGGUCGAACUCCUGGCCUCAAGUGAUCCAUCCGCCUUGGCCUCCCAAAGUGCUAGGCUUACAGGCAUGAGCUGCUGCGCCUGGCCUUUCACAAUUCUUAAACUGUUGACUUACAGAAACACAGACCUGUAUGAACACACAGAUCACUUUAGAGGUCCGUCUCAGAACUACCUGCUGUCAUGAGUGAUGUACAGAUAAAAUGUGGAAGAUCUAGAAACUAGUCAUUCCUAAUCUCUGCCAUAAGUAAACAUUUUAGUUUAAUGUUAAAAGGUCACUCAGGGUUAUUGUGAGAUUUGAUGAGAUCAUGGCUACAAGGAACCUUUAACUGUAUGAAUGAAAAAUCUAAUGAAACUGCAAAGUCACUCCUAUUUACUAAAACCAGUGUAGUGGCUGUUUCUGCCUCUUUUCUUUCCCUCCUCCCUUCCCUUUUCUUCUCUGUUGUUUCUGUCACUUUCCUCUCCCUUCUACCUUAUUUUUUUCUUCCUUUCCUUCUCCUUCCUCUCUUUCUGGCAUUAGCAGUUUGUUUGUUUGUUUGUUUUUGUUUAUUUUGAGACCGAAUCUCGCUCUGUUGCCCAGGCUGGAGUACAGUAGCCCAAUCUCGGCUCACUGCAACCUCCACCUCCCGGGUUCAAGCCAUUCUCCUGCCUCAGCCUCCCGAGUAGCUGGGAUUACAGACGCCCGCCACCACACCUAGCUAAUUUUUGUAUUUUUAGUAGAGAUGGGGUUUCACGAUGUUGGCCAGGCUGGUCUCAAACUCCUGACCUCAGGUGAUCCGCCCACCUCGGCCUCCCAAAGUGCUGGGAUUACAGGUGUGAGCCCCCACACCCGGCCCUGGCAUUAGCAGUUCUUACACAAGAACAGCGUAGGCAUGAAUCCUGCCUUCAUGGCACUUACACACUAGCAGAGGAAUCUGGCAGCAAAUAAGCACACAAAGGCAGCUGCAGGGUAUGAUGUGCCGUGACGUAAAGGGACAAACACCGUGAGAGUCUAACUAAAGCCUGGCAUGUGUCAAUCCUAUGUACCUAUUCAGAAACUAGGGUUCAUGACGGUGCUUCUGUUGUUACCUAGUAGAAGUAGCUUUGUAAGCACAAAGAUUGUAGUUUUGUGAAGCUAUCUAGUACAGAGUCACUCUGGAAGUUUAGCAUUAUAGAGUUUUUUCAUAGAAAGGAUGGAUAGAUACAAGUUUUUCCUAACAAGCACAAGUGGCAGUCUUUGAAAACUAAUUUUUUAUGUGUACAUUGUAGCAUUGGAAGAUAACUGUGGUUGAGUGUGAUAAACUGAAACUUUUUAAAAAAUCUAUUAUUUUUUUUACAAGUUAAGUUAGAGCCAGAUAUGCUGAUUCUCUACCAUUUUCAAAAGAGGAAUUGGAAAAGGGAGAGCUUGUUUAUGUGGUAUUCACAAUAGUGUCUGCUCCUGAAGAAAAUUUUUGGAAAAAUCUCAUGAGUGUCCUCAGACUAAAAACAGGGAUCCAGUCUGUUGUUCAUGCAGGACUCAGGAGGCGAGCGAGCAUGUGAUACCAGGAAGGGUCCCAUCCCUGCCCUGCUGGGGAGCCCUCAGUGGCGAGGUGGCGAGUUCAGGCUUCACUUCAGAGCAUGGAUACUGCUGCAUAGGUGCUGGAAGGGUGCUGCAUGGGUGCUGGAAGCUGCUUGGCAUAGUGCAUGUCCUGUUUCCUGCCACUUGGAAAGAGGACUGUGGAAGUCAGGUCUUCCCAGUCCUCACCAGUAAAGCAAGCAACGAAUGCCUUCAGUCCAGGUAAUAUGUCCAGGCUUUAAAUUCUCUGGAUCUGUCUUUGGAUACCCUGGGAAAAGUCUUGUCUCUUCUUAGGCCCUUCUGACUAAAAGCAGCCAGGACUUUUAAACUGACUAAUUUUUAAAGAUUUCCAAAUAGAGAAAAUUAAAGCAAAAAUUUUUGAAAGCUGAAAAUGAUCUUUCCAACUUUUCUCAUUCAGAGUAGAACACUGGAGCAUUGAAAGUUUGUUCAUGUUUGUGAUUGAUCACAUAUUUAAAAAAUUGUAAAAUAAAGACCUUAUUUUAAUGUUAAAAGUUCACUUCAACACCAUCAUUUCUACGAGGUUCUAGGUCUUUUGUGAACAAAUUAAAUAUAGUGCUUUCUUUAUAACAUGAAUUAAAUCUAGAUCCCAAUGAUAUUUGGCACCUUCUAAAUACCCAGAUGGCCACUGCGUUUGCCUUGAAGUGAAGACGUGUGUAGAGUUUUAAUCACAUGUUUUAUUUUUUCUCUUUUAAAUAUCGCCUUUUCAAUAGUUGCUUGUUAAUGAAUGACUGAUUGUUUACUGCAGUUUAUAAUCAGGAAUUUGAACAUUAAAAAAUUCUAAUCAGGAUACAGGUUAAAAAACACUUUCCCUCUCAUUCUCUCUUUCCUUAUGCUAGAACAAUAAAAAUAAAUUGUCCUCCCCUUGAAAACAUAGUAGUUUAAGAAAUUUUAUCAUUCUCUUCUUGAAAACUUAAGUUUAAUAAAACAGUUCAGAGGAAACUUAAUUAUAGUUCUUAUACUAUAAAAAGCUCUUAUAAAAACAGGGGUAGGGCCACAAUAAAUUUCACCUCUUGAGCAUAACCACCACUUGAAAAAGAAAGAUGUAGUUAAAAAAUUAUUUUUGCUUUAUCUUCUCCAUUGUUUAAUGCCUGAACAUACUUGGAUUUUUUAACAGCAGGAACAAGACAGAAGACUUUGUUAGCUACCCAGGUAAGAUCAUUUGAGUCCAAAGACCAGAUUCCAGAACAGACUGCAGAUUCCUGUUGAGGACAUGGGUUGUCAGGACAGCCUGGAGGCAGAGGGGUAGAUUCUGUUGUAGGUGUCGUAAGUGACAUUUUGGAUCAGAUUUUUAACCCUCUUUUGUUUUUGAAAGUGAGUAAAUAUUCAUAGCAGAUUAUUCUCAUGAAACAAGACUGACACUAUGACCUCAGGGAAAGAGUGCUUUGGGGGGAACUGUGUAUUUAAUUAAGCAAAGAAAGAGCUGAUGAAAGGGGCUGAGUGUCUCAGAGCUGUUGUUUCUUCUGCCGAAUUUUUCCAAAUAGGAGCACAGAAGUCCUGAGAACACUGCCUCUCUAUAUGUUGUGCUCAGUCCACACACUGCCAACAAAUGUGCAUACACACACACACACAUACACACCUCAAAGACAACCCCUCCAGCCUGUGGUUUUCCUGAAUUAGCUUUCCCAAAGUACCUUGAGCACUAUGGGUUCAGACUGGGGUUUGGGUUUGGUGACAGCUGUCAGUGCUCCAAAGGCAGAGGACUGAACUUAGGGCAAAUCUGUGGCAACAGAAAGCUCUUUUCUGUUCCAUGAAAGUCAUGGAUGAUGCUUUCAGAUCCUGUCUGCAAAUUGCCCAACAUCGCAUUGAUAAUGGAAACAAAUGAUCUGACACUCACAUAGCUAAAUAUAAUUUAGAAUUUUGAUGUGAGGUUGAAACAUGAAAGAUCAUGCUUUUCAAACUGCUGUGAUGACUUACACAGACAAUUCAUUUUAGAUAAUGGUGAGUUAAGCCUGGCAGCCUCUGAGCGUUUUCCCCUCAUUUGUUCAAACACCUGCAGUUGGGUACUGAUGCACAUGUUUAAUUGCUUAAACUUAAAUUAUAAAAUCCCUAAAAGGAUGUUUUUCUCCUAGAAAAUAAGUCAGGUCUCUUGCAAAGGCUGCCUGCUUUCAUGAGCUUCUUGUAUUUCCCGGGAUGCUUAUGCGCCAGCCCCUGUUAGGUCUGCUUUUAAACACAGGAAGUUGAGCCCUUCAGGGAAAGUGCCGAUGUCUGAACCAUCAGCAAAAUCACUACACCCAUUCCCUGGGAAGUCUAGUUCAUCAGAAACAAGUUUAAUUCGGGAACUGUAGUUUAUCCAGGUUCCGUGAAGGCAAUUAGCACUGGGCAAAGGGCUGUUUGAUCAGCCUAGAGAGAGACCGCCUUUACGCCUAAAGCUCCAGUCAUUUGUCUCUACUCCCGCCGACUCGCAGCGGCCACAGAAGACAUCAGAACUGGAUGAAAAUGGCCCUGCCCCUGCGACAGAGCAGGGCGCUUCUGGCUUGCGCCUUGUUAUUUGUCCCUCCAGUGGUUCCUAGCUGUUGUGACGUCAAGGCUGCCAUUCAGAGCAGAGAAAAAGGAAACCAUGGCCUCUCUUCGCAUCAGUAGCCCGGACAAGCUGUUGUUUCUCAGGCAUCCAAAGCGCUUUCUGUCUGGCAGAGCUGUGCAUUCCAUGCCUGGGUGACCUGGUUAAAUGGAGGAAACCAAAUGCUAUCCGCUGAAUGCUCUCCAAAACAAGCACUCCGCCCUGCGCGUCUCAAGCACAGGCUUCACUGCCUCCGAGGACUGUGAAGGGAACAGCAGCACUGCCUGCAUUUGCUGCUGGCAUAUUCAGCUUCUGGUCAGGGUCUUAAAGGAGAAAAUAACAUCCUCAAUGGCCUCGAUUAAUGCACACUCACCAACGUGUUUGUGCUGCCUUUGGGGUCAGUGCUACAAAAUCCUUUUUUAAAAAAGGAUUCGGAAUCACAGUCAGAAGUUCAAAACUGCUGAACUGCCACCUCUUCCUUCCUGUCUCACUUCGGCUCACGCCAUUCCCCAAUUUCAGGUUUCUGAAUUCCAGAAAGGCUCUUGUGUAUGUGAACAUAUUAAUCUUGCACCGUGCCUUACUGAACGUGUGUAUGUUUUGCACACACAUGAGAAAGACUCACAAGUAUAAUGCGUGGAUCACAACUCUAGGAUUUUCUCAAUGAAGAGUAACACCUUAUGCUUUUCAGAGAAAAGGGGCUAUUUCACAGUGUCACAGAACUCUCCUUAGGAGCAAGCCAAGAUCUCUGUAGCAAACAUCAAUCCUGCAAGGCCAAAAGCUCACUAAUAAAGUUCUGAUCACGUAGAGUGACUGCCUAAGAAUUGACCAACUUCAGACUAAAUUUUCUGAGGACAUACCUUCUUGGGUUUCUUUCUGGCAUGAGAGACUAUUUUAUUAGAUUCUUGGAUUCAAUUAUAGUCACCAGAAAAAGCAAGGUUAUAACAACCACGCUUUGUGUUCCAGAGUUGUCUUAGUUAACUCAGUAUUCAUUUGAGGUUUUAUGUUACAAAUCCCAUUAAAUCUUUCUCAAAAUAGCCCUUCUCUGAACAUUUGAUGGAAGAAUAUUUGCAGGAACCAAAACCAUUUGAUAUAUACACCGGUAUAUGUCAGGAAGGAUCGUGAUACAGGGGUGCCUUUUAAAAGUGGGUUAUUAUACGACAGAAUUCUUCCAGGUCCCUGACUCUUGUCUUCUGAAAAAAAAAAAAGUGGAGAUCUUCAGAGGACUGGAUAAAGACAGAAUGGAUGGGGUGAAUUAUGUAAAGUUAGGAUUUAGACUGAGGGUUUACAGGGCUGCAGUCUCGUUUUGCCUCAACAGUCAGACUUGCCCAGGGUCUGGCCUAAUACCAUACAAAUGUCAUAUCCACAGUGGCAUUGAUACAGUGGUGGGAAUGGGGCAUGGGGGUGAUGAGCAUAGCUUCUUGCUGAGUGCUCUGGUCCGGGUGAGCCUGAGAUCUUGAGAGAAAAACUAGGACAUUAUUUCCAUCGUGGGCUGAAGAAUUAGUUCUGCUACUUGCAUAUCAGUUAAUCCUUUUCUUUUUUUUUUUUUUUUUUUUUGCUAUUACUACCAUUUCAGGAGGUACUUGUUAUCUGAAGAUAACUGAUACAGGACCACUACUGCUGUUUUAAGAGGAUUGACUUAAAACUGAAUCACACAUUUAAAAACAAACAGUCACUUUUUUUUUAAAGAUCUUAUUGGGACUAAGUCCUGAAAAAAAUAAAACUAAAGUUGAAGUUUAGUUUGUUUUAUAUAAUAGAAAUUUGGGAUAUGAUGCAACAGCAUGUUAUUUCUUAGAAGAAAGAUUGAAUGUUGACUUCUAAAGCAGAAUCAUAUAAAGAAGAUGAUUUUUGUACAAGCAUUCGAAUUUCCCCAAAGGCCUCUCUUAAUCUUUUGAUAUACAAACCAUUCUCUUGAAGAGUCUACCUCUCAUGUAAUCACCUCUGUUGACUUUCUCUUCAAUUGUUAACUGUUGAAACUGUCUUUCAUCUUGUCAGUGACCCUAUGUGAUUCAUGCAGUUUGCUGGUAUCAUUUUUAUCAACUGUGUGAAAAUCUGCAAUUCCACCUUACAAGUGAGCUACAUUGGAUUUUCAUUUUAUUCUAUGACAUUAUUCAACCAAGAAAGUGAGCAAGAAUAGAUGCUGAUGUUAAUGAGGACUAAUAAUAAGUGAUCACUGUGUUUGUCAAUAUUUUUAUAUGAUGAUGACCUUUGCUUCCUUAUGCAACUUGGUAACUACAGGGAUUCAGAUAAUGAUUACUCGAGUAAUGAAUCCCCACCCCCUGCCAAAUAUUAUGUUGUGUUUAAAGUACUCAGUAUGGUUUAGUGGGCUUUAUAAUCAACCACAUGUAGAUUUGGAAGCCACCCCUGACACUUCACUGAGUUCUAUAACCUUGAGUGUGCUAUUCACAGAACCUAAGAUUCUUGAUCUUUUAUGUAGAGUAACAAAACCAACCUUGCAUCCUCUAGACAUUGUAAAGUCACAGAAAAGUUUUGAGGAAUGCAGCGACAUGAAUUUUACUACAUUUUAGAAGACCACAGCUGGGGACUCUGUAUGCCCCGCAUCAGCUAAUACCAUUUGAUAGCCAUUUUUUUCAUGGCAUAGGUGAGAACACUAAGGCCCAAGGAUAUGAUGUACUUUCUUGGCAUCACAUGGUUUGGUUCUGGCACAGCCAGGCCUAGAACCCAACCUUCCUACUGCCUGCUGUGUUUCUUCACCACCCAGUUGCUCCUUGGCAAGUGAACCAAUUACAAAGGCUGUCUUACUUGUCCAAGGACAGAGAGAAAGGUGCAUCCUGGGUGACUGGAAAUGGGAGUGGGAGGGAGAGGAUGGAGGCAGCAGACAUUGAAAGUAAGUAUUGACUAGACUUGGUGACAGAAUGGCUCAGCUCGGCUCAGUGAAGAAGGGAGUCCAGAGGCCAAACUUUCAACCCUGGUGGGAUGGCUAUACAGUUAAGUAAAGUAAAAUCAGUAGAAUGGUGUUGGUUUUUUUGCUUCAUGAUGAAUUUAAAGGGACUGCCUUAUCCAGAUAGAAAUAUGUUAAAGAUAUAGGUAGGAGAGGUAGCUACCAUUAAAGAUACAGAUUUGAGAUUAAUGCCACAGAAGGAGAGCUGAAACCACUGUACUACAUAUAACCGUGUGUGUGUGUGUUGCACAUGUGCGCACACGCACUUGUGUUAAACUGGAUUUGUUGGCGUAUCUCCAAUUCAAACCUGGGUCAGGUGAUUAUGUUGUAACUUACUGCCCAGUUAUAAUCACAAACUGUUACACCUUCAUCAGAAGGAAGAGCGAGUUCCCUAGAUCAGUGUGUUUGUGUGUUUGUUUUGUUGGAUGGAUCCUGCCGAGGCACUGAGAGACAGACUUUGCUGGGCCCUGUUUUGUAAACAAAUCUGUUCACGCACGCUUUCUUCUAUCAUUGGAUGUGUACACUGGCUCUGAUUUUCCCACCCGACACGCCAAAGCCUAAGCAUUUAGAAGCUUGUUUUCUUUUAGAAGUAGGCAGGCACCAAAGAAAAACCUGCAUAUGCAUUUAAAGUGUGCACAUCUACCCUAAGUAAGUCUUUGGAUCUUUACAGUUUUAACUCUGGGCCAUGUACAGUGUAUUUCAGCCCACUACACACGGCAGACCUGCGAGACGUCCUGACAGCCCCCACAAAACUAUGGACUGAGCUUAGUGCAAAAGAGAAAGCCCUUCUUACCCUUAAAGUUCACUGCACGGGCCAUUGUGGGAUUAGUCACCCCAGAUGAUAAAACAUAAUACUGGUUUUCCUAAGUAGGGGUGAUUCAGCUUUCUCUUAGAUUGGAAUAUGAACUUAAUGUAUAUAAUACAUACAGUCACUUCCUGAACUUGUAGUUUUUUGCAUGUUUUAUUUAAUAUUCUAGCCAGGUUUAAGUUUUUAUGGCAGGAAGUAUGUGAAUGGUUAUGACAGGAGUAAAUAACAGUUGAUUUUAUGAUUACAGUACAGGAAGUAACUUUUCACACCAAAUAAAUCUUUGGGAAAAAAGUGCUGGCUUAUAAAUUUAACGUACAUAAAUUUUCCAGAAUCUUGCAUACAGUCGCCUGUGCUCUCUUAAAUGGAACUAAAUACCUGGCUGGUCUUUUUUCUUUUAACUUUUUUUUGUCAACGAAUGUCUUUGUUUUAGAAAGAGGCAUUUUCAAGUGUUUUGAUGUGACCCAACGUGACCUAAAACCAUUAAAAGAUUCUAAGCAAAAAUAAUAAGGCCAAACUUUAGUGUAAAUAGCAUGAAAGGCUUGAAAACUAAAUAAAAAAUUAUUUUUUCCUUUAAGAGUAAAUAGCUAGGCUAGGCAUGGUAGUUCAUACCUCUGAACCUGUGAACCAUUGCUUUGGGGGGCUGAGGUGAAAGGAUUGCUUGAGCCCAGAAGUUCAAGACGAGCCUGGGCAACAUAGCAAGACCCCUUCUCUAUUAAAAAAAAAAAAUAGCCAGAUGUGGCACACGCCUGUAGUCCCAACUACUCAAGAAACUGGGGCAGGAGGAUCACUUGAGCCCAGGAGUUUGAGGCUGCAGUGAGCUAUGAUCACGCCACUGUACGCCAGCCUAGGCAACAGAGCGGGGGGCUCUGUCUUAAAUGACCAAAUCAUUUUUCAUCAUUAAAGCCCGGGAAGCCUCCAAACUGCCACCGAGUCAAGUUCCUUCCAGUGACUCCUAUAGCCAUGAUCUGCAGGCACUUGGGAGGAACAGCCUGUUAACAUCAGAGAGGCUGUUGCAUGUGAACAAGUUUACAGAGAAGAGGAAAGAAUUGGAUAGAACUUCAGUUACAUUUCAUUGUAAGCAGAGCUUUAACAGAGGCUUUGUUUUUCCUUGAAUAAAAAAAUGAAUAGCGGGAAUACAAGAUUUAGAGAAGAUUUCUUUCUUCACCCUUUUCAUCUUAAAGCCUAAAGAUGUUGUAAUGAGAAAAAUAUUGUGACAUUCCUUUCUGAAGGUUACUAUUACACACACGUGAAUUAUGUGAACGAAUGGGUGGAUGCCUGGCAGAUUAAAAUGUGGAGUUCCAGAUGCAUUCAUAACCACCAUGUGGCUAUGACACAGUGGCACAUCAUUGGGCUGGGAGUGAAAGGAUGAAGGUUCAGACUUCAGCCCUGUGUCUGGGAGCCUCACCCAACCACCCUGACGGAAAACAGGAUCUCUGAAUCCCUUCUACCUCUACAACUCGGUACCACACAUUGUGCAACUAAGUAACUUGCAAGUUAUGUGAAACUGUUUUCACAGGAUCAGCAGAGUUACCACUGCUUCGUUGUCCUGAAUCUUCAUUACAUUUUUACAGACAAUAUAUUUGCAUGUGACAUGAUUAAAAAUCUACCUUGUGUUUUUAUGGUCUUUGUAGGUUUUAAGGUAGUUUCUUAUAUGCUGUUUUCCUUGCUGUGCAGCCAACCUGGGUGUUACUGGCAGACAUGCUGAGGGCAGGCUCUGGAUGUGGAGUCAAGGUCAGGCUCCCUGGCUCUGAAUCCUGGCUCAACCACCUACUGAUUGUGUAACCCUGGGCAUGUCCUUAAGCACCCAGGGCCUCAGUUUCCUUAUCUGUAGGAUGAGGAUUAAAAAUAGAACUUACCUCCAGGGCUGCUGUGAAGAUUAAACGAAUGGACGGAUGUGUAGCUUGUGGUAGCGCCUGAGCUGGCCCUGCAUGUCAGUGUGCUGUUCUCGCUGAUGAUGAAACUGGCUUAGCGAGGUUGGGUGAUAUGCAUAAGAGCAAAUUAGCAAAAAAGAUGAGCCAGAACUCAAACACGGCCUUAGGACUUCUCAGUGGCUGGUGCCCUUCCGUUGUGAGACCACUCUCUCUCCUGCCUAUAAAAGUGCCACGAAAGAGUGCGCUCCAUUUCAUUGUUUAAAAGAGAACUGAGUAAAUGUUAAACAUGAAGGUCAUUUGUCACGGGGUUUUACUUUGUUUGGAGAGGGUGGACUCUAUAACUCUUGAAUGGUGUCCACAGCAUAGCAAGGACCUGGACAGCCUCCAUGGUUUCAUCACAUUCUCAACAUCCAGCCUUAGAAAUAGCUCCCUUUAGGUCACCAAAUUAACAGGAGUUUCUAAAGGAUAGCAGCUUUUUUGCAACUGCUGCAUCUGUUAGAUUCAUGUUCUCUUUGCUCCCUUCUCCCCAAGCUUCUAUUUCAUGAUCUUUUUGUUGUUUUGCUCUACUUUUCCUCUUUUUAAAACCUCUGCAUUGGCCACCCAGGAUUUAAGAGGAGCUUUUCUGGAAAGCUGUCUGAAACAGGAACAAAUUACACAGAAACACUGAGAGCUGUGAACUUGUGUGUAUACCUGACAUAGUGGGAGAGGGGGGCUUCCUUCUAAGUAAUAGAGAAGAGUGAAUAUUCUAAUCAUUGAGUAGUGGUCAGGCCUGUAAUCACUGCUUUUUCUUUUGCUGAGCUCGGUAUCAACGGACAAGCUCAAAAAUUGUAGCUAUUUAAAAUUACUCUCCAUGUAAAGGGUUCCUGUUCCUUUGAUCCUAUCACAGACUUCCUUUUUUUCUAUUGAGGAGGUUCAUAAGAUCUCGUGGGCAAGGGCUGAGGAGAUGACUAUUGCGUAGUGUAGUUGUUUUAAAUUAAAAAUUUACCUCUAGUUAUAGGUGCUACUUUUUACUUACCCUCAAUUUGGAGAUUACAUCAUGCAGGCUGGGCACAGUGGUUCAUGCCUGUAACCCCAGUGCUUUAGGAGGCCAAGGCGGGAGAAUUGCUAAAGGCCAGGAAUUAGAGACCACCCUGGGCAACACAGCAAGGCGUCAUCUCUACCAAAAAAAAAAAAAUUAUCUGGGCAUGGUGGUACUUACCUGUAGUUUCAGCUACUCUGGAGGCUGAGAUGAAGUGAGACCCUGCCUCUAAAAUAAAUAAAUAAAUCAAUUAUGUAUAUCAGGCAAAUGAUUUCCAUACUCUUCUUGUUAAAAUAUCAGUUUGGUAAAGAUGGUAAAAGCUUAUCACAUCCCAGGAAGUCGAGGCUUCCGUGAGCCAGGAUCGCACCACUGCACUCCAGCCUGGGCGACAAGAGUGAGACCCCGUCUCAAACAAACAAAAAAAAAAAGUGAAAAUUCCCUUUCAGAAUUUCACAUCCAAAAAUGUGAAAUAAAAGAGUUGGGGUCUAAGUGGCAAAGUGCUGCCGUGUUUCAAGUUAAGGGCUUCCAUGGAUUGUGUGAUAAAUACAGGUGUGAAUGUGGGUGAUUUGUUUUAUUCUUCAGUGCCCAUUAAGUAGAAGCUUGUAUUUUCCUCCUUCCCCCUUCAAGAGCCCCCCUCCCCACCAUGCAGGCACAUGGAGGCCCCAAGUUGGAAGCACAUUCACAGCCUGAAGCUGAAGGACAGGCUCUGAAAAAUCUUUCUUUCAGCAAAACGUCUACUAAUCUCAGAAAGUGAGCUUUGUCACCAUUGAUACUCUGUAAGGUGGGAUGAAAGCAAGUUUUCUUACUCAUUUUGCCCAGUUGUCAAGAAAUGCUGCCCUUCUCUCUAACAUAAAUUAACAGGUUUGGCUACAGCCUAGAGAAAUACAAAAUGUCACAUUUUAGCCUUAGUGGCCGGUUUUCAAAGGGUGCCUGAGUGUGAACACCAUGUCGGCUGCUCUGUUAAUGUGACUGGGUCUCAUAAAUAGGUAUUUUUCUACCCCUGUGAUGGACAAAUCUGAAAAAGUUUUUUCAUCUUACAAGCCCAGAGGAUGGUAUUUAGAGGCUGAUUUUUGGUAUCUCAGUUCCUGGUAGGGAAGACGAAUUCCGUAUUUGAAAUUUGGGGACAAACAAAAAUAAUUCUUUCUCUUUCCUUGAAGGGUUAAUGCUCCAACCAGCCUCAGAUUGGUUCGCUUGAAUCUUAAAAUUACUUUUCUGGUCACGCGCACCGAAGGUCUAAGCAUUUGUGAAAUGUCUUUUUUUUUUUUCUUUCCUCUUGAUGCUGUUCUCUUUGGGCUGUCUUAAUUACACAGGGGUUGAGAAACCAAAUUAAAAUUAGGCGUGUCUGGUCAACAGUGAUCACGUUGCAUGCUUUUAGCUUUGCUUGUUGAAGUUGCUUCUCCUCCCCGAGUGGCUUUCCUCCCCACAAUUUUUUUUUUUUGAAGGAAAUAUCAUAAGCUCUUUCAGAAAUACUCACAGGAAGUGAGAGUCCGUAUGCUGGUUACUCACCAGCAACUGAGUGUUGGCAGGUGGAGAAUGCUACCGCAGCCCGCCCAGACGGAUCUGCAGACUGGCCCCAUCGCAGAGGAUUAGACAGAGGGUGCAUGGAUCAUAGGGUUUUUGAACAGAAGGGAGUUUUAAGAGGAAAUUGGUCACUGCGUGUCAUCUCGAGGGGUGGUGAUUCAGGGAGCAGGGCUGGGGGUCAGAAGGCACGUGGCUGCCAUCUCAGAGGUUGCUGCUCACUUCUCAGAGGGCAGGCUGGCUUCUAAAAAUCAACGCUCCCUCCACCCCCAAACAGCGAUUCUUCUGCAGUGAAUCACUUCCAGAAAUGAAUAGCCACAGUUUUUUGGAAUGAACGUUGUGAAAUCCCUCCUUUAUAAUGGCAGGUUUUCAGUUGGUGGUUUUAUCAGAAUUUCUCAAGAUCAAAACGAAACCUUCUCUUUAAAAAGGAAAGAAAGUACUAUCGAUACAGAAAGCAAAAGUAUUUCCAGUCUCCUACUGAACUGUCACGGCAGACCUCUCUGUAUCUAUAUUUAGAGCUGUAUGUCCAUAUAUUUGCCUGAAUGUGUGAGUUCUUGGAAGUAUGGAUUCAUUGCCAGGAGCUGGUGAUUUCCUAAGCAGAGGUCGCUAACUACAAGAAAUGUUACACUCGGACAAGUCCUGCGCUUGGGGAUCCUCUGUACGCCCGUUCACUGUUUUCAGAAAUGAAGACCCUACGACCUUGGCUUCCUCUCUUGUGAUGCAGCUGAAAGAUGCAUUUCGUCUGUAAAGUUAGACCAGGUAGGAGAGAAUGUGAGGUGGUUUCCAUUCUUCUCAGUUGCCCUCCACCUGAUUCUGAAGCCGUCACAGACCGUCCUUGCAGACCGGCGCUCCCCUCCACAAACCUUCUGCAGCCUGUACUGCUACAGCACGAGGCUGCAGAAUCAGUUGUGAAAAUAGAAGCCUUCUACCGUCUCCUGUGCGGGAUCCUUGCCUGCCUUUCUUCUGUGAUGGGAUCUAUAGGCUUAGACUGUGUUUUAUUUCCUAAGACACCUUGCUGAGCAAACCUUGCUGCUCUGCCUCGUGUCAGCGGUUUCCUUAGCAACGGCCACACCUCACGUUUUCUCCCGCACAGAGCACCAGCAUGAGGGGGCAUGUGUUGCUCACUGUACAGGAACUUUCCCAACCUGUGUGUCUUAAGCAGGAAAGAGAAGGUGCUUUCUAUUUCUUGUUUUUAAAAAUGCAUCUGUUGGUGACACUGGUGGAGAAACAUGUUUACGAGAAAACAACUGACUUUUUCUUCUGCUGUUACUCCAGGAGAUUUCCUAGGAGCUCAUACUGUCAUUUAAAUUCCAGGUGCAGGUCUUCUGAACAAAUGCCUCCUGAGGAUUUCUGUGCCUGGAAAAUAUCUGUUAACAGACUGCUUUUACACCUACGUAAGUAGAGGCUUCUGCUUAUAAGUCAACCUCAAGGGAGUUUUAUUUUGUCCCUGGAUGAUUCCUCAGUACAUUUUUCUUUUUCUUUUUUGAGGUAGGGUUUUGCUCUGUUGCCCAGGCUGGAGUACAGUGGUGUGAUCACAACUCACUGCGGCCUCAACCUCCCAGGCUCAAGCGAUCCUCCCACCUCAGCCUCCCAAGUAGCUGGGACCACAGGCGUGUACCACCCACGCCUGGCUAGUUUUUUAAAAUUUCUUUUGUAGAGGCAGAGUCUCCCUGUGUUGCCCUGGUUUCAAACUUGGGCCAAGUGAUUCUCUGCCCCAGCCUCUCAAAGUGCUGGGAUUACAGGUGUGAGCCACCGUGCCUGACAAGCCUGAUAUGUUUUUUUAAAUGAUCAUUAGUAUUUGAUCUCUACUCUUUUUCUCUCAACCACCCAACUCCCGGUUUACGGUCAGGAAGAAUCUAUAACAUGAACUCCUGCUUAAAAACAAGGGUAUAGAUCCCAUAUUCAGGUCUUAGACUGGGAAGAAGAGAAGGCAGUCAAAAAUAUUAAAUAUAUGAAUUUCAGUAAAUUCAGUUGGGGAUGCCAUUUCAGCUUUGCAGUCAGUUACUCCAGAAUAUGUCAAUGUAUGGCAAAGCAUGUGACAGCAGGAUCUCUGCACCCUCUCCAUUUACCAGCUGUGGUGGAUCUCUUAGCCACAUCUCUGUUUAUAAUGUGCUUAUUGAAAACUAAUGUAUUACUUUUAUUAUCAUAGCUACCAUUUACUGAAUAUUUACAUUGUGCUAACACUGGUUCAGAUGGCUUCAUCAUAUUUACCUGAUUUAAUCCUCACAACAACCUUAUGUGCUAGGUCCAGUUAUUACCAUCUUUUUUUUUUUUUGAGACGGAGUCUCACUCUGUCGCCAGGCUGGAGUGCAGUGGCGCGAUUUCGUCUCACUGCUGCAACCUCCGCCUCCCAGGUUCAAGUGAUUCUCCUGCCUCAGCCUCCCAGGUAGCUGGGACUACAGGCACAUGCCACCACGCCCAGCUAAUUUUUGUAUUUUUAUAGAGACGAGACUUCACCAUGUUGGCCAGGAUGAUCUCAAUCUCUUGACCUCGUGAUCCGCCCAUCACAGCCUCCAAAAGUGCUGGGAUUACAGGCGUGAGCCACCGCACCCGGCCUAUUACCCUCAUUUUACAGAUGAGGAGACUGAGGCACAGAGAGUUAAAGUGAUUUGUGCAGGGUUGUGUGAGGAGCUGGUGGCAGAGCUUGGCAUUCUGGCUCUGGAGUCUGCAUUUGGCCAUCUCACCGUACAGUGUCAUAGAAACAGGAAACUCGAGAAGAUAAACUGCCAGGCUGUAUUUUGGAGUCAGUAUUUUAACACUGUCACCAUCUCAAGCAUGAUCUGUGGGACUCAUCACUGUGCUCUUUGACUUGAACUUCUUUAAGGUUAGUGGGAAAAUGAAGCUUUAGAGAAGAUGGGACUGGCCUAAGGUCACACUGCAUGUCAGAAGUGUGGUGGAGGGUCCAGGUCUUCUGACCAUUCAGUGCAAGCCAAAUUGUGCUAAUUUCCAAUUUUUCUCCCUUUCUCUUGGUGAGCUAUUUGGUGCUACUUCUACUCCUCAUGACCAAAGCUGGCUUUCAUGGUUUACUCAUGUACUUACUGAUGAAACCCUGAGACUUGGGGCCAGUGACUGUUCAGAGGUCCAUGUGAAGAUGCGCUGAAUGGUAUAAAGGACAGAGCAGUAAAGAGUGCUGGCUGAAUGCCUGGGCUGGCAAUCAGGCAUGUUGGAGUUUGAGUCCCAGUCUGCCACUCCAGCUCUGUGACCAAGAGGAAGUGAAGUCAUGUACCCUUUCUAAGUCUCUAGCCCCUCUUCUGAAAGACGAAGAUGCCACCACCAACCAUGUUAGUGGUUGUGAAUGCCAAGAAAGUCCAUGUGAAGCACAUAGCAUAGUGUCUGCCAUGCGUUAAGUGUUCCAAAAAUGGAAGCUAUGACUAUUUCACAGAGUACACUUCCCAUCACUUUUCAGUUCAUUUUGGCCUUCUCCCUCAAAAGCACUCCAGUGUUCUGAUCCAGCUGAUAAAACACCAAACAUUCACAUAGUGCUUUAAAAGUGACCCACUGUUUUUACAGACUGCAUUACAUAUGACCCUAACAACCACUGCAAUAUAGAAAUUCGCAUCUCCAUUCUCCAGAUCAGGAUACCGAAGCUCAGAAAAAUUAAAUGAUUUGCCCAGGAUCACAUAGUUAGUAAGCAGCCCAGCCAGAUCCUGUGUUAACUUGUUCAUCCGCUUCCUAUAAGAAAACAUCCAUUCAAGGCACAUGGGGCAACAAAGAAGGACUUAGAGCUGUGUGGCCCCUCGUCAGGGCAGUACCAGUUGCACCCAUAGUCCGGCCUGAAUACUCAGCUUAGGACUAUUGUGUCCAAUGUCCCAAACAUUUUGAAGCUACAUCUUAAAGAAGUGUCCUGCUCAGAUGCAGUUCUCCUUGUGAAAUCCGCAGGCCCCAAGGAAAGUGACUUUAAUCCAGUUUGCUCAUGCAAGAACAGACUGGCAUUUCACAUCCAGGAAAACAAUGGAUUUGUACUGUUCAGCUUUUGCCAUGCAAGGAGUUCCUGGUGUGGUUUAUUAAUUUACAUCUCAGGCUCCAGCUUCACUAUCAAUCAGAUUUGGAAGAAAAAAGUUACAAAGAAAGGCAGCUUGCUGAGAAACAGCGGAAGCAUGACGGUACAGACUGGGUUUUGAAAUGGAGACACAUUCUCAUGGCUUGUGGGCUGAGAGACACUGAGAAAGGAUUUUGUUCUUGAAAGAUGAUUGUUUUAAUGCUGGAGAUGGAGAGUUUUGACAAUUUUAAGUGCAUGUUCUGUGUGUAAGAAAGAGUCAUUACGUUUUUUUUUUCUUUCAGAUGUUGCCAUGCCUUAAAAUUGCUGAUGAUUAAAAUAGAACAUCCUGAGUUACAGAAAUUCAGCCCUAGUGUAUCCUGGCCUAAAAAUACAGAACAAUCAAGUUGAUUGUUGGAAAUGAGAGGCUAGGCAGGGUUGGAAACAUGCUAAUGUUUACUGAGUGAAAUCUUUCCUUCUCAGUAGAGUUGCCCUUGCAGCUGAAAGUCACUGAAAGACUCAACAAAAUAAGCAGAUCCCACUUGUCUCACUCUGUUCUCCUAUGCAUGCCCUGGAAAGAGAAUGAAUGAGCCCUUUUUAAUUUAUCAACUGGUUUUCUUCCAUCUCUUUACUAGUGAGCCAUGGGGGUUUUUUGCCGUUAACUGGGUAGCCAGUCUCUUCAUGGAGACUUAUUUUCAGGAAACUAGCCUCUUGCUUUAUGUGAAAACAAGGACCCAACUCAAGAUGUCUUAUCACAGUGUGUUCUGUUGCGUAACAGUUGCAUCUGUAGUCCAGCCUCAAUACUCAGGUUGGGACUGUUUUGUCCUGAUGUCUCGAACAUUUCAAAGCUACGUUCUUAAAGAAAUGUCCUGCUCAGAUAGAGCUCUCCUUGUGAAAUCCUCAAACCCCAGGGGAAGUGACCUUAAGCCAGUUUGCUGGCUUUUCAUGUCACAGAAAACAAUCGACUGCCACUACUCAGCUGUUGCCACACAGGAGUACCUGGCGUGGUCACUACUUGCCAACUCAGUACCCCACUUUCUCCCCAAGGACAUAAAAGCAAUGUGGGAAGAUAUACCAAAUGACCUUGUCACACUGGGCUAAUAUGAAGAGCCCACAGAUGCAAAAUAAUGUAUCAUACCUUUAUUCUUCUGAUUUUUUUUUUUUUUUUUUUUUUCGGAGACAGUCUCACUCUUUUGCCCAGGCUGGAAUCCAGUGGCGCGAUCUUGGCUCACUGCAACCUCUGCCACCCGGGUUCAGGCAAUUCUCCUGCCUCAGCCUCCCGCCCAGCUAAUUUUUGUAUUAUUAAUUAGUAGAGAGAGGGUUUCACCUUCUUGGCCAGGCUAGUCUUGAACUCCUGACCUCGUGAUACACCUGCCUUGGCCUCCCAAAGUGCUGGGAUUACAGGCGUGAGCCACCGUGCCUGGCCUUUUUUUUUUUUUUUUUUUUUUUUUUUUGAGAUGGAGUCUGGCUGUAUUGCCCAGGCUGGAGUGCAGUGGCAUGAUCUUGGCUCACUGCAACCUCUGCCUCCCAGGUUCAAGUGAUUCUCCUGCCUCAGCCUCCUGAGUAGCUGGGAUUGCAGGCAUCCCAUACCCGGCUAAUUUUUUUGAAACAGAGGCUUGCUCUGUCACCCAGGCUGGAGUGCAAUGGCACGAUCUCAGCUCAGUGCAACCUCCGCCUACUGGGCUCAAGCAACUCUCCUGCCUCGGCCUCAGCCUCACUACAGGCAUGUGCCACCACGCCUGGCUAGUUUGGUUUUUUUUUUUUGUAUUUUUUUAGUAGAUAUGGGGUUUCACCAUGUUGGCCAGGUUGGUCUCAAACUUCUGACCUCAAGUGAUCUGCCUGCCUCAGCCUCCCAAAAUGCUGGGAUUACAGGUAUGAGCCACCACGCUUAGCCUUCUGCUGAAUUUUUGAGAAGCAUACAUAAAGACAAUGUAAAAAACUUAGCAUAUUUGUUUGGCCCUGCUAAGGGCAUGGUUGAAUAUAUAGUGUGUGUGAUGUAUUUGGUGUAUGAGAUAUAUAUGAUCUUAUCAGACAUAAGUAAAAGAAAUUCAUUCUUCAGGAAAAAUUUUCCCCAUAACUGAAGUGUCAAUCAUUUGAAAAAACUUCUAGGCAGUAGGCAAACACUGUGACUAGUUAUUUAUCAAAAAUAAGCAGACUUUAGAGUUUUGUAACUGAUGAGAAUAAUCUGGCUGCUUCUUUUGUACUUCAGUCACUGAUACUGCGAAUUAGAGUAGCAUAUACAGAAGGAUGCAGGGGGUCCCUAAAGGAAUCACAGAAUUAGUGAAACCAUUAUUUGAGAGUUGCAGUGAUUCUUCUGUCCUGGCACUUUUCCCAGUUUUGGUGCUUAAAUUUACUAUCCACUUGAAAUGUGUCACUGCCUGUCACUUCACAAAGUAUGUGCCUUUCACUGCAGUCAACAAGCUGUUUACAUCUUUGAUGAAAUGAUUGCCACGCAUCUCCAUAGCCCUGGUGUUCUAUUCCCUUAUUCACAGAGAUUUUUUUUAAAAACCAGCCUAGCAGCAAUAGGUAUGUGCUGUGGAUGCUUCUCCAUGAUGAUAAAGGAUGAGUUUGUGCUGGGAUCUCCUUAUGAAAAGAUAACUGGCCAAGCCCAUGAGGAACAAGAAUGUUAUGCUAAUCAGACCCAAGGUAAACAGCCUGCAGUGCACCUCCUGACUGAUUAGCACUGAACCCACUUGGAAUCAUCAACCACAGGCACGUGGUAAUUGGAUGUUCUUCUAAUACACAUAGUGAGAUUGUAAAAUGAGGAUGAUAUAUGAGGAAAGUCAGACGGAGAAACUAAAGUUCAGUUCUUAAAUACAAGCCAAGGGAACAGACUAAGUGAAUGGUACAGCCAGGAUUGGAGCCUGGUUUUCACAAGGUGGUAUGUCAUGAUAAAACAAGCCAAAGAAAAGGUUGGGUAGUGUUUUGAGGCUAAAAGAGACCAAAGAGUCUUAGUGAAUCAACCUUGAUGCGAUCUGGGUUUGAAAAACCUAUAAAAAACCUUUUGUUUGGAGAAAGUGGGAGAAGUUGGAUGUAGGCUGGAUAUUUGUGGGUACCAAGGAAUUGUUUGUUUUCUUAGGUAUGGUAAGAUUUUGUGGUUAUGUAGAAGAGUGUCUUCAUUUUAUAGAACGACCUCAAAGUAGUUAGGAGCAGUGUAUGUAUGGGUGGUUAUCAAUUUACUUUCAAACAAUGCAGCAAAAAAUAUGUAUCUAUAUUACAUAUAAUUAAAGCAAAACAUGAUAAAAAGGAAUAGUUAUUGAAUUUAGAUAGUAUGGAUUUAGGAAUUCAUUGUAUUGUCAUUCCAAUUUAAUGUAUAAAAUUUUUUAUAACAGUUUAUAAAAACAGUGCACACCCCUUUAAUUAGGUGGCCUGGGUACAUGAAGUAUCUUUUUGGAUGCCUAGAACACAAAAAGGGACGACAACAGGCCACCUAAUAAGAUGAUACCAAGAACUAUACCAUGACGGCGAAAAAGAACUGCUGCAAAAAAUAAUUUGCCAAGGAGAACUCAGAGUACAAAGCCUUACCUUUGGAGUAGAGGGAAGGAGAGUCUUAAGUAAAGCUCACAAAAACCCCUAACUCAUAGAUGCAGUCUAAGGAAUUCAUUCCGGAAGCGACAUUAGCAUCUCAUUAGUGCCAUUAUGUGACUUACUUGGCCUCUGAGCUAGUCUAUUUUCUUCCCUAGACCCCAAAAUCUCAGUAAUCCUUUGGAUCCAAGUUAUCUCCAAGUGAAAAUAAUAGGUUUAGGAAAGCGUUUUUCUUCAACUUCUAUGGAGCACUUGCUUGCUUUGUCCUAUUUGCAUGUCCGACGGACGGUUCUCCAGCACCACUGCUAGUCGUCCUCCGCCUGCCUGGGUACUUGAUCACAGGAUGCCUCUGACUUCUCCUGCCUUUACCCAAGCAAAGGAUUUUCCUUGUCUUCCCACCCAAGAGUGACGGGGCUGACAUGUGCCCUUGCCUCUAAAUGAUGAAGCUGAACCUUUGUCUGGGCAACUUAACUUAAGAAUAAGGGAGUCCCAGGCAUGCUCUCCCAUCAAUAACAAAUUCAGUGACAUCAGUUUAUGAAUAUAUGAAAUUUGCCAAAGCUCUGUUUAGACCACUGAGUAACUCACAGCUAGGUUUCAACUUUUCCUUUCUAGGUUGUCUUGGGUUUAUUGUAAGAGAGCAUUAUGAAGAAAAAAAUAGAUCAUAAAGCUUCUUCAGGAAGCUGGUUUCAUAUGGUGGUUUAGAUUUAAAUAGUGAUUGUCUAGCACCAUUUGAAAUCAGUGUUCUUGGGGGAGACCAGCUGCGCUGCACUACCAACAGCAAAAGAAGUGAAUGGGACAGCUCUGAAGUAUUUGAAAGCAACAGCAGGAUGGCUGUGAGAACCUGCCUCACAUGUAGCUGACCCCUUCCUCACCCCUGCCAACAGUGGUGGCAUAUAUCACAAAUGGCAGUCAGGUCUCUGCACUGGCGGAUCCAACUGUGAUCGAAAGUUUUCCAAAAAUAAGUUGUGUCUGUAUUGAACAUGAACAGACUUUCUUCUUGUCAUUAUUCUCUAACAAUACUGCAUAACAAUUAUUUGCAUACAUUUGCAUUGCAUUAAGUAUUCUAAGUAAUCUAGAGACGAUUUAAAGUAUACGGGAGGAUGUGUGUAGGUUGUAUGCAAAUACUACACCAUUUUCUAUCAGAGACUUGAGCAUCUGUGGAUUUUGGUAUCCAAGGGGCUUUCUGGAACCAAUCCCUCAAGGAUACCAAGGGAUGAAUGUAAUUGUACAGGAUAUCGCAUUGUUGGAAUUUUAUACUUCUUUGUGGAAUAAACCUAUAGCACUUAAUAGAUAGUACAGACUCAUUCCAUUGUGCCUGGGUUAAAGAGCCCAAUGUAUGCUGGAUUUAGUAAGAUUUGGGCCCUCCCAACCCUCACGACCUUCUGUGACCCCUUAGAGGAUGACUGAUUUCUUUUGGUGUUCAGAGUCAAUAUAAUUUUCUAGCACCAUCUGAAAUCGGUUAUAAUGAUUGGGGAAGAGCACCAUGAUGCUGACUGCUGAGAGGAAAUGUAUUGGUGACCGUUGGGGCCAUGGACAAGAACUAAGAAAACAAAUGCAAAGCAAUAAUGCAAAGGUGAUUUUUCUUCUUCCAGUUUCUAAGUUGAAUUUCACUGACCUGAAUUGCAUGUGGUAUAAUACUAACAAAUGGUUCACUAUUAGCAUAUCAUGAAUGGUUAUACUUUAUAGAAAUUCCAUAGACUUGGUGGGGGUUUUGUUUUGGUGACGGAUACCUAGAAACACUCCUGGGGAAAAUCGAUGACUGGCUUAGAUGAUGGGAAAGGAGCAGCGAGGGAGUCAAUUCUGUUGUUGAUGAGAAGCUGCACCAGCUAUCUCUGAACUCUCCUCUCUUAGCUGGCUGAGGAGUUCCCUCCAUGGUUAAACAGGUCAUUUUCUUACAUAAGGAAAAAUGGUCCAGAGAAACUGGGUUUCUAUGGCUGAGACAGAACUGUGCUAAUAUGUGUCAGUUCAGUUUAGAAGGCAAAGCAACAAAAGCAGGUGCUACUUGAACUAGGAUCCUAGAGUAUACCUUUGAUAUGGUUUGGAUGUUUGUCCCCUCCAAUCUCAUGUUGAAGUGUGAUCCCCAGUAUUGGGGGUGGGGCCUGGUGGGGGUGGUUGAGUGAUGGGGCGGAUCCCUUGUGAAUGGCUUGGUGAUGUCCUCACUUAACGAGUUCCUGCUCAGUUAGAGGGAGCCGGUUGUUUAAAAAAGCUGGCACCUCCUUCCUCUCUCUUGCUCUUUCUUUCUUGCUCCCUCUCUCGCCAUGUGACAUGUCUGCUCCCUCUCCGCCUUCCACCAUGUAUAAAACAUCCUGAGGCCUCAUCAGGAGCCGAGCAGGUACCAGUGCCAUGCUUGUACGGCUGCAAAACUGUAAGCCAAAUAAACCUCUUUACUAUAUAAAUUACCCAGUCUCGGGUAUGUCUUUAUAGCAGCGCAAAACGGACUAACACAACCUCACUAGAAGUGAAGUCAUUAGACCAAAAACAAUACUGAGUUUUUAGGUCCACUAAGAGGCAAAAAUAAAAGGCUCUUUAUAGCAGCAUGAUUUAUAAUCCUUUGGGUAUAAGCACAUGUAUGCUAGAACUUAAAGUAUAAUAAUAAAAUAUAAAAAUAAUAAAAUAAAAUAAAAGGCUCAAGAAUGAGCCAUCUCGGCCGCUCCUCCUCCAGGGGCCCCUGUGUGCAGCUCCCAACACAGGUACUGCACAGACCGGCCACCUGCUGUCCCCAUGUGGCGUCCUGGAGAACUGCAGGGGCACCUGGUGGAAUUUGGGCCUUGUCCUUCUGUUUUCUUUCUGGCCUGGAAAAGCCACUGGCCUCACAAUCAAGAGUUAAUAUUCUAUCUACCCUGCUUAAGCUUUCCCGCCCUCUCACACUGCCUCCCUCCUUUUCCCUCCUGCCUGUCACUUGUCUGGAAAAGGCCUUUUCUCCUCGGGGCUAACACAUGCAAUUUGUAGCCAAAACAUUCUGUCUACCACACAAAUCCAACGAGAAUCAGGAUCAUUCCACCACAUCUUUUUCUAUCCCAUGGUUAUUAUUUUCCCAAAACUCUUGUCUUUUGCUUUCUUACCUAUUCGCUGUUUUCCCUAAGUAAUCUUAUUUACUCCCCUGGUUCCAAAUACAUCCCUAUGUGUUGAUUUCCCUCAAACCAGAGGUCUGGCCUGGGAUAUUUUUUGAGACAUCUUGCUUUUUAUAUUUUUAGUAGCUCCUAAGUAUAAUAGUUCAGCCUGCUCUUCUAAACUUGUCUCAAUUUAAUCCAUUUAUGCUUGAGGUUGCAAUUUUUUGAAUUUUUGCCAUCAGACCUUGGCAAUGACCUUGAGCAGUAGGAGACAACUCCCACAUGCUUAGCAUUCCAAUAAUGGAACACUAGGCAUAUACCAAAGCCAUCCACAUUGCCUUCUCCCCAAAGCCAGCUCUCCCUGCUCUGCCCCAUGGUGAAAGCUGCGAACACCAGAGGUCUGUGACCUCUUCCCUCUCCCUUACCCACAUCCAUACUCAGCACAACUUGUUGCUGUUCUCUCUCAAUUCUCUCUUUAGGAUCCAUCCCUUUCUCUGCUCUUCCUAGACAGCUUUCUGGGCCCACCCCUCGCCAUUAGUCUAGCUUUGUUAUAGCCACCAGUUAAUCUUUGUAAAAUACAUACGUGAGCUGGGCACGGUGGCUGGUGCCUGUAAUCCCAGCUACUCAGGAGGCUGGGGCAGGAGGUUGCUUGAGCCCAAGAGGUUGAGGCUGCAAUGAGCCAUGAUUGCAUCACUGCACUCCAGCCUGGACGACAGACCAAGAUCCCAUCUCUUUAAAAAAUAAAAAUAAAAAUUGUUUAACCACAUGACCUUGCUCCUUGUCCCUCACUUUUAGCUGAACUCUUAUAAGUGUGUCAACCAGGUACCAGACCCUUCAUGACCCCAUGCCUACCUGUGUCACCAUCUUCUGGCUGUGCUUCCUGGGGCCUGUGUUCUGUGCUCACCCAGCUGCUUGCUGCUGAGAACACUCAGGUAUCUUGGCAUUUCUUAGCCUGUGUCUGUGCUAUUUCCUCUGCCCACAUCUCCCCUCUCCUCCUCCUCGUCAGCUAGGGACCUCCAGCCCCUAGGGACUGUAAGCUAGGGACCUCCAACCUGCAGCCCCUGGCUCAGGUGUAAACUUGUCUAGGAAGCCUUCCUCUGCCUUCUGCAUCAAGGCUUAGAUCCCUGGGCAAAGGCUUUCUUCUCUGUACCCCUUCAGAGCCUGAUGGCACUUCGCAUGUUAUAUUCUCAUGAUUGAUUACCUACUAGGCUUCUCUGCAAGGCUGGAAAAUCCUUGCUCCUAGGAGGGACGGUAGACAAGAACAAGACAUACUGUGUACACUCCAUUCUUACAUUCCACGUGAGCUAUCCUUUGUGUAGGUGUCUGUGGCAAAUCUUCCUUCUAGGCUGCAGCCUCUACUUUUCAUAGUUUCUCUCCAUUUUCAUCUGCCAUGUGCAUGAGGAAUAAAAACUACUUCCAAUGAUGACCAAAAUAAGAUGGAAGAAAAUAACCCUGCUUCAAAGAACAUUUCUGAGACCAUAAAUAUGAUUUUGAUGUAUCUUCCAUUAUGGAUUACCCAUGUGGUUUUUUUUUUCCUUCUAAAUGCAUAAACAGGAAUUGUUUAAUAGGCUAGAGAGCCAUGAAAAGCAAAAUAAUUAAGGAUUGUUGUCCUCAUUUCAUAGAAGAGCAAACAAAGACAGAAAAACAGAUGUGCCUUAACCAAAAAGGGCAGUAAAUUUAUGCAAAGCAGACUGAACCCCCAUUAAAAGUAAUCAUUUACAGCGACCAAGGGCCAAGCACGUGAUCACCACCCUCCUCUCCCAAUAGCUCUGAAGGGUGGGUAGUAUUUCCCCAGCUUAUGCACGAGGAAACAGAUGCACAGGAAAGUCAAGUAACUUGCCUGCAAUGCCACGGCUAGUCAACAUGAGAGUUUGAAUUACAAAUCAGGUGGCGGUGGCGGUGGUGAUGAUGAUGAUAAUAGCAGCUUAUCAUCAUCAUUGAGCUCUUAUUUUGUGUUAGAUACUUGGUAAGUAUUUUGCAUGAAUUAGCUCAUUUAGUCUGACUUUCAAAACAGCCCUUUGAGGUCAGUGUUAUUAUCAUCAUUCCCAUUUUGCCAUGAAGAAACAAAAGAAUUAAAUAAUCCAAGAUCGUCUAACUGACAUUUCCAAGCAGGAGCACAAACCCAGAUCUCUGUGAUUCCAGAGCCUGUGCUCUUAAAUCAGCACUGCUCAUUUCAGUGUGGGAGAUGGCGUAAAUGGGUGUGUUCACUUGCUGGGCAGCCUCAUCUGUGGUCCCCUUGAUCCCCACCUACUGGCAUUCAUGCCCUGUGCUAUUCCCUCCCCUGGAGUGUGGACUGGACCUAGUAAUUUGCUUCUAAUGGAUGGAAUAUGUCAAAAGUGAUAGAUGUCACUUCUGAGACUAGGUUACAAAUAGACUGUGAUUCUGUUGUCUUCUUCCUCAGGCUUGCACCCUCACGACAUGCUCUCUCUCUCUCCCUCUCCUCUUUUCUCUCUUCUCUCCCUUCUCUCCUCUCUCUUAUCUCUCUCUUCUCUCUCUCGUACACAUACUCUGGAAAGCCAGCUACCAUACUGGGAACUGCCCAAUGGAGAGGCCCACAUUCCACAAGGAACUGAUGUCUUCAGCCAAUACCUCGCCAGGACCUGAGGCCUGCUGAGAGUCACGAGUGGCCUUCGUGGGUCCUCUCUCAACGAGCUUGCAGGUGACCACUGCGCCAGCCAAAACCUUGAUGGCAGCCUAUGAGGGCCAAAGAACAAAGUGUAGUCAACUGUUUUGAAGCCACCCUGUUUUGAAGAGGCGUUUUCCACUCAGGUGGCCUUGCACCGAAUGGCCAACCCUGCCCACUGUACGGAAACAAUAGAUGCUGCCUUAGAAGGGAGCAAGCUGGCACUGCCCUGGUAUGUGGGUGCGGCCAGGAAGCUUUGGGCCAAACUGUGCAGACUUGCUGUCUCAGGAUUAGCACUUUCUACAGCCAGAGUGGAGACGAAGGGCAGGAGGCACACAGCCCUUCCUCCUGGAGAUGAAAGGGGUCUGUAGGUGGAUGAGGACCUUGUUCACCAAAAGUCACAGGAGGAAGUCAAAGAGGAGGAGGAUAGAAACAUAGUGGUGCUUCUAUCACCUAUAAAUUCUGCAUUCAUGAAAAAAAAAGUCCACAAAAUUAUGGCCCUGAACCAAUCUGUAUCAACCCUGAACAUGCUGGAUGCCACCCACUGUGGGUUGGGCAGAAGAUGGUGCAGGCCUGACAGAAGUUGGUAACCAAUACUGUGCCAGAGGCUUGGUGUGGCAGGAGGUGACAGGACAAAGGUACCAGAGGAUGCCAGCUGGGUGUCAGCCUUCUUAGCUGUCAGAACUGGUCUUGGAAAAAAGGACAGCCGUUGGGUAUGCUUUUGUAAGAGGCAUUUUUGCUCUUGCAGAUAGCUGCCUCUCUCUUCCUUCCUGUGACUGAACAGGCCAGAGAGGAAGGUCAAAGGCAGGCAAGAGAACAAGGACAAAGGCACAAAGUGUGGAUUGUACAUGGACUCCUGUUCUAAUCCAGCUCACUUACCAGCUUUCUAUGUCAAAAAACAAAAAAUUAGAAACUUGGAUGGGAAAGAGGCUGGCACAAAUGUAAAUUAUGAACUGAGUUCCAAAGGAAAAGAGGCAACAGAUAAGAGAUUCUUGUGGGUACCUUACCUGCGAAUUACUUUGAAAUGGCCUUGGAAGGGUCCUGAUGGGCAUGGAAAAAAAAAACCCACUAGCCCCAUUUUCCCAAUAUAGAAGCGAAGGUCAAUAGCAGUACCUCGAAAUGUCUGGGAAGUGAAAGUGACAGAGAAAAAGAGGACUUGUGGACAUAUGUGUUGGCCUUUUUUAUCUGAAGGUGCUAUGGCUGGUGAAGAUGGGCUGCGUUCUGGGUCCCUGGGAGAGCUGAUCCUGAGCUCAUGUCUCUGUCCCAGCAGCAGGAGCCCCUCAGUGCUAUAGAAUGUGAGGUCUGCUGUGAGUCCAAAAGACCAGACAUGUGACACAUUCCUCUGCUUUCUGGAGCAUAGUAUCAGCCCUUAGAAGCAGCUGUUCACCUCUCCUUUAGUAGCUCAGCAAGAAUUCAGUUCAGUAAAAAUUUAUUUAGCACCUACCCUGCUCCAGGUACUCUCUAGGCACUGAGAGGGGUUUUCCUGUACUGUGCCCAGAACUCUGCUCCUCAGGCCUUUCUCAGCUCAGGAUACUGGCUUAAGCAGCUAAACUGAUCGCAAGUGCCACCCUUCCAUGCUGCUAAAAACCCAUGCUGUUCUCCUAGACAAAGUUAAUGUCUGGCUCAACAUACCACACCUUCUCUCUUAAGUCCUUAAGUUCUGAGAAAGGGAUCCCAGGAGGUAUGCAGGACUCUUGAUGUUGAAUGAGAGGCAAGACCCUCCACUCCUGUUGCUCGACCCUCUCCCAGGUCCCCUAGAGGAAAGGCUCAUCCUGUGGCUUCUCCCUCCUAAACCAAUCCCUGUGCAUCCCUUUCUUUGUUUGUGCCACGUCCACACACUAAUCUCUCUGCCUUGUGUUGGCAGAUGCUGGUGGGAUGGAGCUGCAGUUUGUGUCUCUGAAGCAGAUUAAACACUGUCUGCCCCAGCCUGUCUUAACUAUCUUCUCACUGGUUAACAGUCCUUGGAAGAAUAAACAAUCCACACAAGCUCUCAGAAAGCAGAAGUUCCAUGAUUCGUGACCAGAGUCUCAUAGCACAGAAUUCAUCUCUAAAAACAGAGACAGAGUCUUGCUCUGGCACCCAGAUUGGAGUACAGCGGUGCAACCACGACUCACUGCAGCCUUGACCUCCCAGCCUCAGAUGAUCCUCCCACCUCAGUCUCCCAAGUAGUCAGGACUACAGGUGUGCACCACCACACCUGGAUAAUUAUUUUUUAAAACUUUUGUAGAGAUGGAGUCUUACUAUGUUGCCCAGGCUGGUCUCAACUCCUGGGCUCAAGCAAUCACCCUGCCUUGGCCUCCCAAAGUGCUGGGAUUACAGGCAUAAGCCACCAUGCCUGCCCCCUCCUUUUUUUUUUUGUAUUUUUAAUUUAUGUAUCAUAGUUGUACAUAUUUUUGGGGUAUGUGUGAUAUUUUGAUAUAUGUAUACAAUGUGUAAUGAUCAAAUCAGGUUAAUUGGGAUAUGUGUCAUCUUAAAUACUUACCUUUUUGUGUUGGGAACAUUACAGUUCUUCUAGCUAUUUUGAAACAUACAAUAAAUUAUUGUUAACUAUGAUUUUCUUACUGUACUGUUGAAUACUAGAACUUCUUCCUUCUAAUUUUAUUUCUGUACCCAUUAACCAACUUCUCUUCAUUCCCCCUGCCCCCACUCCGUACCUCUCCUCUGAUAAACACCAUUCUACUCUCCACUACUGGCCACUUCCAUGAGAUCCACUUUUUAAACUCACACACAUAAAUGAAAAUAUGUGACAUUGGUGCUCAAUAACAUGUAGUUCCAUCCAUGUUGCUACAAAUGACAGGAUUUCAUUAUGUUUGUGGUGAAAAAAUAUUUCACUGUGAAUAUAUACCACAUUUUCUUUAUCCAUUCAUCUGUUGAUGGACACAGGUUGAUUCCAUAAUCUUGGCUAUUGUGAAUAGUUCUACAGUAAACAUUGGAGUGCAGAUACCUCUUCGAUAUAUUGACUUCUUUUGGAUAUACACCCAGCAGUGAGAUUCCUGGAUCAUAUGGUAGUUUUAUUUUUAGUUUAUUGAGAAGCCUCCAUACUGUUUUCAUAGUGGCUAUUGUACUUACAUUCCCACCAACACUAUACCAGGGUUCCUCUUUCUCUGCAUCCUUGCCAGCAUUUGUUAUUUUUUUCUCUUUUUGAUAAUAGAUUUCUAACUGAAGUGAGUUGAUAACUCAUUGUGGUUUUGAUUUGCAUUUCCCUGAUGAUUAGUGAUGUUGAGCAUUUUGUAAUCUACCUGUGGCCAUUUGUAUGUCUUGAGAAAUUUUUACCCAGCUCUUUUGCCCAUUAAAAAAAAAUCAGAUUGUUAUUUUGCUAUUGAAUUGUUUACAUUUCUUACAUAUUCUAUGUAUUAAUUCAUUGUUAGAUGGAUAGUUUGCAGAUAUGUUCUUCCAUUCUGAAGGCUGUCUCUACACUUUGUUCCUUCCUUUGCUGUCUAGAAGCUUCUUAGCUUGAUGUAAUCCCAUUUUUCUAUUUUUUGCUUUGACUUCCUAUUCUUUUGCGGUCCUACCCUAAAAAAUCUUUGCCCAAACCAAUGUCCUGUAGCAUUUCUUCAGUGUUUUGUUCUAGCAGAUUCAUAGUUUUAGGUCUUACAUUUAAGUCUUGAAUUCAUUUUGAGUUGAUACUUGUAUAUGAUGAAAGAUGGGGAUCCGGUUUUAUUUUUCUGCAAACAGAUAUACAGUUUUCCCAGCACCAUUUAUUAAGGAGACUCUUUUCCCCCCCAGUAUGUGUUCUUAGUGCCUUUGUUGAAAAUGAGUUGGCUCUAAGUACAAAGACUUAUUUCUGAGUUCUUCAUUCUGUUCCAUUGGUCUAUGUGUCUGUUUUUAUACCAGUACUAUGCUUUUUUGGCUACUAUACCUCUGUAGUUUAAUUUGUUUGUUUUCUGAGACAGGGUCUCUCUCUGCUGCCCAGGCUGGAGUGCAGUGAUGCAAUCUCGACUCACUGAAACCUCCGCCUCCCAGGUUCAAGUGAUUCUCCUGCCUCAGCCUCCCAAGUAGCUGGGAUUACAGGUACCCGCGACCAUGCCCAGCUAAUUUUUGUAUUUUCAGUAGAGACGGGGUUUCGCCAUGUUGACCAGACUGGUCUCGAACUCCUGGCUUCAAACAAUCUACCCACCUCAGCCUCCCAAAGUGCUGGGACUAGAAGCAUGAGCCACUGCAUCUGGCCUGUAGUAUAAUUUGAAGUCAGAUAAUGUGAUGCUUCCAGCUUUGUUCAUUUUGUUCAGGAUUGCUUUGGCUAUUUGGGGUCUUUCGUGUUUUCAUAUAAAUUUUAGGAUUUUUUUUUUCUAUUUCUGUGAAGAACUGUCAUUGGUAUUUUUAUAGGAAUUGCAUCAAAUCUGUAGAUUGCUUUGGGUAGUAUUGUCAUUUUAACAAUAUUAAUUCUUCUGAAAAGUGAGCAUGGGAUGUCUUGCCCUUUUUAUCCUCUUCAAUUUCUUUAAUCAAUGUUUUGUAGUUUUCCUUGUAGAAGUCUUCCACCUCCUAAAUUUAUUCCUAGGCAUUUUAUUUGUAGAUGUUGUAAGAUUGCUUUGUUGGUUUCUUUUUCAGAUUGUUGGCUGCUGGCAUAUAGAAAUUUUACUGAUUUUUGUAUGUUGAUCUUAUAUCCUGUAACUUUGCUGAAUCUGUCACUUCUAAUAGGUUUUUUUGGUGGACUCUUUAGGUUUUUCUAAAUAUAAGAUCGCGUUGUUUGCAAACAAGGAUAAGUCAACUUCUUCCUUUCCAAUUUGCAUGCCCUUUAUUUCUUUCUCUUGACUAAUUGCUUUGGCUAGUACUAUGUUGAAUAAAAGUGGUGAAAGUGGGCAUCCUUGUCUUAUUCUAGUUCUUAAUGCAAAGGCUUUCCAUUUUUUCCCAUUUAAUAUUAGCUGUAGGAUUCUCACAUGUGGCCCUUAUCACACUGAGGUAUGUUCUUUCUUUCUUUUUUUUUUUUUUUUUUUUUUGAGAUGGAGUCUUGCUCUGCUGCCCAGGCUGGAAGUGCAGUGGUGUGAUCUCAGGUCACUGCAACCUCCACCUCCCAGGUUCAAGCAAUUCUCCUGCCUCAGCCUCCCAAGUAUCUGGGACUACAGAUGUGUACCACCAUCCCUUGCUCUUUUUUUGUAUUGUUUUAGCAGAGACGAGUUGUAUUAGGGUUCUCUUUUACUGUAUUAGUUCGUUUUCAUGCUGCUGAUAAAGAUACCCAAAAUUGGGAACAAAAAGAGAUUUAAUUGGACUUACAGUUCCACAUGGCUGGGGAAGCCUCAGAAUCAUGGCAGGAGGCAAAAGGCACUUCUUACACGGCAGUGACAAGAGAAAACUGAGGAAGAAGCAAAAAUAGAAACCCCUGAUAAACCCAUCAGAUCUCAUGAGACUUAUUCACUAUCACAAGAAUAGCAUGGGAAAGACCAGCCCCCAUGAUUCAGUUACCUCCCACUGGGUCCCUCCCACAACAUAUGAGAAUUCUGGGAGAUACAAUUCAAGUUGAGAUUUGGGUGGGGACACAGCCAAACCACAUCAUUCUGCCUCUGGCUCCUCCAAAUCUCAUGUCCUCACGUUUCAAAACCAAUCAUGCCUUCCCAACAGUCCCCCAAAGUCUUAACUCAUUUCAGCAUUAACCCAAAAGUCCACAGUCCAAAGUCUCAUCUAAAACAAGGCUAGUCCCUCCUGACUGUGAGCCUGUAAAAUCAAAAACAAGCUAGUUACUUCCUAGAUACAAUGUGGGUACAGGUAUUGGGUAAAUACAGCCAUUCCAAUUGGGAGAAAUUGGCCAAAACAAAGGAUUACAGGGCCCAUGCAAGUCCAAAAUGCAGUGGGGCAGUCAAAUUCUAAAGCUUCAAAAUGAUCUCCUUUAACUCCAGGUCUCAUAUCCAGGUCACGCUGAUGCAAGAGGUGGGUUUCCAUGGUCUUGGGCAGCUCCACCCCUGUGGAUUUGCAGGGUACAACCUCCCUCCUGGCUGCUUUCAUGGGCUGACAUUGAGUGUCUGCAGCUUUUCCAGGUGCAUGGUGCAAGCUGUUGGUCGAUCUACCAUUCUGAGGUCUGGAGUACAGUGGCCCUCUUCUCAUAGCUCCAUUAGGCAGUGCCCUAGUAGGGAUUCUAUGUGGGGGCUCUGACCCCACAUUUCCCUUCCACAACAUCCUAGCAGAGGUUCUCCAUGAGGACCCCACCGCUACAGCAAACUUUUUCCUGGGCAUCCAGCCAUUUCCAUUCAUCUUCUGAAAUCUAGGCCGAGGUUCCCAAACCUCAAUUCUUCUGUGUACCCACAGGCUCAACACCACAUAGAAGCUGCCAAGGCUUGGGGCUUCAACCCUCUGAAGCCACAGCCUAUGCUCUGUGUUGGCCCCUUUCAGCCAUGGCUGGAGCAGCUGGGACACAGGGCACCAGCAUGGGUACUCCCCUGGGCCCGGCCCAUAAAACCACUUUUUCCUCCUGGGCCUCCAGGCCUGUGAUGGGAGGGACUGCUGUGAAGGUCUCUGACAUGGCCUAGAGAGACAUUUUCCCCAUGGUCUUGGGGAUUCAUAUUAGGCUCCUUGCUAUUUAUGCAAAUUUCUGCAGCCAGCUUGAAUUUCUCCUCAAAAAAAUUGUUUUUUCUUUUCUACUGCAUCAUCAGGCUGCAAAUUUUCUGAACUUUUGUGCUCUGUUUCCCUUUUAAGAUGGAAUGCUUUUUAACAGCACCCAAGUCACCUUUUUGAAUGCUUUGCUGCUUAGAAAUUUCUUCCACCAGAUAACCUAAAUCAUCUCUCUCAAGUUCAAAAUUUCCACAAAUCUCUAGGACAGGGGCAAAAUGCCACCAGUCUCUUUGCUAAAACAUAACAAGAGUCACCUUUGCUCCAGUUCCCAACAAGUUCCUCAUCUCCAUCUGAGACCACCUCAGCUUGGACCUUAUUGUUCAUAUCACUAUCAGCAUUUUUGUCAAAGCUUCUAGGAGGCUCCAAACUUUUCCACAUUUUCCUGUCUUCUUCUGAGUUCUCCAAACUGUUCUAACCUCUGCUUGUUACCCAGUUCCAAAGUUGCUUCCACAUUUUCAGGUAUCUUUUCAGCAACACCCCACUCUACUGGUACCAAUUUACUGUAUUAGUUCGUUUUCAUGCUGCUGAUAAAGACAUACCCAAAACUGGUAACAAACAGAGGUUUAAUUGGACUUACAGUUCCACAUGGCUGGGGAGGCCUCAGAAUCAUGGUGGGAGGUGAAAGGCACUUCUUACAGUGUGGUGGCAAGAGAAAAAAAAGAAGCAAAAGCAGAAACCCCUGAUAAACCCAUCAGAUCUCAUGAGACUUAUUUACUAUCAUGAGAACAGCACAGGAAAGGCCACUCCCAUGACUCAGUUACCUCUCACUGGGUCCCUCUCACAACAUGUGGGAAUUCUGGGAGAUACAAUUCAAGUUGAGAUUUAGGUGGGUUACACAGCCAAACCAUAUCACAAUUUCACCACACUGGCCAAGGUGGUCUCGAACUCCUGACUUUAAGUGAUCCACCUGCCUCACCCUCCCAAGGUGUUGGGAUUACAGGCCUGAGCCACCAUGCCUGGCCUGAGGUAUGUUCAUUCUAUACCCAGUUUGUUGAGGAUUUUUUUCAUGAAGGACAUUGAAUUUAACUGAAUGUUUUUUCAACAUCCAUUGAAAUAAUCACAUGUUUUUUGUCCUUCAUUCUGUUGAUGUGAUGUAUCAUGUUUGUUGAUUUGCCUAUGUUGAACCAUCCUUGCAUCCCUGGGAUGAAUCCACUUGAUUCUAGUGAAAGAUCUUUUUAAUGUUUUUGAAUUCUGUUUGCUAGUAUUUUGUGGAGGAUUUUUACAUCUAUGUUCAUCAGUGAUAUUGGCCCACAGUUGAUUUUUUCUUUUAUUUUUUGUUUUUGGUAGUGUGUUUGUCUGGUUUUGGUAUCAGGAUAAUGCUGGCCUGGUAAAAUGAGUUUCUCUCCUCUUCACUUAUUUGAAAUAAUUUGAGUAGAAUUGGUAUUAGGUCUUCCUUAAGUGUUUGCUAGAAUUCAGAAGUGAACCUGGCAGGUCCCAAGUUUUGAAGGGAGACUUUUUAUUGUAGCUUGAUCUCAUGACUUGUUAUUGGUUUGUUUAGGUUUUCUGUUUCUUCAUGGUUCAAUCAUGGUAGAGUAUGUGUUCAGGAGUUUAUCCAUUUCUUCUAGAUAUUUCAGUUUGUUUGUGUAUAGUUGUUCAUGAUAGUCUAAUGAUUCUAUUUCUGUGGUAUUAGUUGUAAUGUUUCCUUUUUUGUCUCUGAUUUUAUUUGUUUGGGUCUUCUUUAUUUUUAUCUUAGUCUAGCUAAAGGUUUACCAAUUUUGUCUUUUCAAGAAACCAACUUUUUGUUUUGUUGAUCUUUUUUAUUUUUUUAGUCUCAUUUCAUUUAUUUCUGCUCUGAUCUUUAUUAUUUCUUUCCUUUUACUAAUUUUGGGUUUGGUUUGUUCUCUUCUAGUUGCUUGAUGUGCAUAGUUAGAUUGUUUAUUUGGAGUCUCUAUUUUUUAAAAAUGUGGAUAUUUACUGCUAUAAAAUUCCAUGUUAGUACUACUUUUUCUGUAUCCUAUAGAUUCUUGUAUGUUUUGUUUCCAUUUUUAUUUUUUUCAAGAAAUUUCUAAAUUUCCUUCUUAAUUUCUUCACUGACCAACCGGUUGUCUGGAAACAUGUUGUUUAAUUUCCAUGUAUUUGUACAGUUUUUAACAUUCCUCAUUUUAUUGACUUAUAGUUUUACUCUAUUGUGGUCAGAAAAGAUACUUGAUAUAAUUUCCACUUUUUUGUAUUUGUUGAGACUUGUUUCAUGGUCCAACAUAUAGUCUGUCCUGGAGAAUGUUCCAUGUGCUGAUGAAGAAUGCGUAUUCUGUAGCAGUUGGGUGAAAUAUUCUGUAAAUGUCUGUUAGGUCCAUUUGGUGUACAGUUUCACUCUGAUGUUUCUUUGUUGAUUUUCUGCCUGAAUGAUCUUUCCAUUGUCAAAAGUAGGAUGCUGAAAUCCCCUCUUACUGCUGCAUUGCAGUCUAUCUCUCCCUUCAGAUCUAUUAAUAUUUGCUUUGUAUAUUUGGGUACUCUGGUGUUGGGUGUGUAUAUAUUUACUAUUGUUAUAUCCUCUAGCUGAAUUGACCUCUUAAUCAUUAUAUAAUAACCCUAUUUAUCUCUUUUUACAGUUUUUAAUUUAAAGUCUAUUUUAGCUCAUAUAGUUACUCCUGCUCUUUUUUGGUUUCCAUUGCAUGGGAUAUCAUCUUUCUAUCCCUUCACUUUCAGUCUAUGUGUAUCUUUACAGGUGAAUUGAGUUUCUUGUAGACAGCAUAUUGUUGGGUCUUGUUUUUUAAUCCAUGCAGCUACUCUUUGUUUUUUUAAUUGGAGAAUUCAGUCCAUUUACAUUCAAUGUUACUAUUGAUAGAUAAGGCCUUACUGCCAUACUGUUACUUGUUUACUAGCUGUAGGUAACUCCUCUCUUCCUUUCUUUGUCUUUCUUUGUGGUUAAGUGAUUUUUCUCUGGUAGUAUGUUUUGUUACUUUUUAUUUUUAGUCUAUCUGUUAUAGGUUUUAGCUUUGUAGUUACCGUUAAGCUUACAAAACAAAUCCUACAGUUAUAACAGGUAUUUAAAACUGAUGCCAACUUAAUUUUGAUCAUAAAAAAGCAAAGAAACAACCCAAACAGGUUAACUCCCUUCUUCCUCCACAUUUACAGUUUUUGAUGUCACCAAUUACCCUUUUUUAUUGCCUGUCUCUUAACAAAUUAUUUUCAAAAUUAUUUUAAUAGUUUUGACUUUCAGUCUUUUGGCCAAAGAUAUAAGUGGUUUAUCACAAUUACAAUAUUACUAUAAUAAUUACGUUAGAGUCCUUUUCUUUCAGUUUGAAGAAUUUCCUUUAGCAUUUUUUGUGGGACAGUUCUGGUUGCUAUAAAUAUAAAGUCCGUCUGGGAUAGUCUUUAUCUCUCCAUUUCUGAAGAACUUUUUUUGAUACAGUAUUCUUGGUUGGCCAUUUUUUUCCUACAACACUCUGAAUAUUAUCAUCUCCCUCCUGGCCUGAAAAGUUUCUGCUGAGAAGUCUGAUGCCAGGAGUAUUGGAUCUCCCUUAUAUGUUAUUUGCCUCUUUUCUCUUGCUGCUUUUAGAAUCCUCUCUUUGUCUUUCAUUUUUGCAAGUUCGAUGUAAUAUGUCUUGGGAUAUUCUUAUUUGGGUUGAAUCUGAUUGGUGAUCUUUGAUCUUCCUGGCUUUGGUAUUUGUAUCUUUCUCCAGGGUUGGAAAGCUUUCUAUUAUUUCUCUGAAGAAGCUUUCUACCCCUUUGUCUUUCUCAGUUCCCUCUUUAACUCCAAUAAUGAAUAUUUUCUUUUUUGAUGUUGUCUCAUACAUAUUGUAAGCUUUUUUCAUUAUUUUUAUUCCUUUUUUUUUCCUCUGUGUAUAUCCAAAUAAUCUGUCACUGAUUACUUCUGCCAUUGAUGCUCUAUAUUGCAUUUUUCAUUUCAUUCAUUGUAUUUUUCAGCUCCAGGAUUUUUUGAUUUUUAAAAUUUUUUCAAUGUCUCUAUUAAAUUUUUCUGAUACAUUUCUGAAUUGAUUUUCUGUUUUCUGGAAUUUCAUUGAGUCUCCUUAAAGCAGCUAUUUUGAAUUAUUUGUAUGAGAGAUCACACAUCUCUAUCACUGUAGGGUUGGUCGCUGGCACCUUGUUUUACCUCAUUUGUGAGGUCAUAUUUCCCUGAAUGUUUUUGAUGCCUGUAGAAGUACAACAAUGUCUACAUAUUUAGGAAUUAGGUAUUUAUUUUAGUCUUUGCAUUCUGGCUUUGUUUGUGCCUGUCCUUCAGAGGGCCUUUCGGAUUCUAAGCUGACUGACUGUUGUGUUCCCUGAGCCUGUGACCACUGCAGCCAGAUAUCUCAGCACUAGAGGACACUCCAAGCCCAGGCUUGCCGUGAGUUUCAUGAGGACUCUGAGGUUGACAUGGCUUUCCAGCCCAGAUGGACCUAGAGAAGACCCCAGGCAGAUACUGGACUGAGGGACCUGAGUCCAGAAAACUGUCCUUGUGGCCCAGACAAGUGUGUCUCCCAGCAGAUCUCUGCAUUUCUCAACUGCAGCAAGAGGAGAUGGAGUUGAGACUGGACCACUUCAGGAUCAGCUGUGAGAAGGAGCUGGUGGGCCUAUCUCAUUGUCUCAGAUGAACAUGCAUCACCCAGCUGGUCCCUGUAUGAGUGGGGUAGUUCCUAGACUGAAGCAGUAGGGGCUAGAGCUGAGACUGGGCCCCAUGGAAUGUGCUAUGAGAGACUGGAGAGCCCAGUCUCAGCUCAGAGGGGUUUAUAUCACCCAGCAAGUUUCUGCACAAAUAAGCUAGUUUCUUGUCUACAGCAGGAGGGGCUGGAGCUGAGUCUGGGUGUCCUUGGGAUCUGUUGUGGGAUGGAAGCUAAAGAGUCUGUCUUGUUGGGCCAGACAAGUACACAUCUCCCAGCAGGUCUCAGCACAAAUAGGAUAGUUCCCUGGUUGCUGCAGAGGGCAGGGUGCAGCUGAGACUGAGUCCACUUGGGAUCUGCUAUGAGACAGAGGUUGGCAAGUGUGUUGGGGACAUUCAGACUUCUGGGUUGUGAGAUAUGGGCAAGUCUCCUUCUGGGUCCUUGUAUGAGCACCUCUGAACUGAGACAUCAGCUGAGAAAGGCUGGAGCAGAGCCACAGGGCCACUUCCAGGUUCACUGCUGAGACUGAUGUCAGUGGACAGACGAGUCUUUCUGCCAAGGCUCUAGUAUGCGCAAUUCCUUCUAGACUCCUUGGCAGAUAGUUUCGGUUGCAAGCUCAAGGCCAAACAGGGCUGUAGCCAACGGCAGACCCCAAGGGGUCCCAGUCUCAGCUCUGGCCCCUCCUGCUGUAGCUGGGGAAUGAUCCUAUCCAUGCAGAAACUUUCUUGGCCAUUUCCAGGCAUGAACCUGGAAGCAAGCUCACCAGAUCAACUGACCUGGGUGUUGGUCUGUACUUUCAAAACAACCCUCCUAGGUCUUGCGCCCUCUCAGGGUUUCACAAACUCCUAUCUGAAUCCUGAGGCUCCCACUGACAGACUUUUGACUGUAGAUGGGUACAAAAAUUCUUGUACCCAUAUUGUAGUUGGGGGAUAUGAGCAGGUUGCCUUCUAUUUUGCCAUCUUGGUGAUGACACUCAGUAAAUGCUUUCUUCAUAUUGACUUUCUGGUCCUGCUAAUCUGUGAAAUGGAGAGAGCCACUGUAUCUCUUAGCUGUGUUAAUCCAAAUAUCUGAGUGAUCGUCCAAGACAAGGAAAGAAUCUGACUACAAGGGCCCUGGAGGAAGACCCCUGGCCCCAGAAUCAUUUCUCUGCCUCCACCUCUCGAUGGCCCUUCUAAGAGAAAAGAUACAUUUAUGGAAGUACAGACUGAUUCAGAAAGUGGGGGACAUAGUGGAAGGGAGCUAACAUCUGCUGAGUCCCCCGUGUGUCAGGUAUGAAAUGCAAACUCUCAUUUUACCCUCACAGCAACUCAAUGAAGGUGAGAAUGUCUAGCUCCCUUUCCUAAGUACAUGUACACAAACGUGGAGGCAAUGCACAGUGUUGAGGUGUGCACUGCUUCCACGAAGUUGAGGAAGACCAUUCUUGUUAAUAAUCAAGUACUUGCCCCAUGUGACAAAAUACAUGCUUUCCUAAAGAAGUACAUGAAGUUAAGUCACAGAUGAAAUCCUACUAAUCUGCAGUUUGCAUUUAAGCACUCAGUAAUUCCAGGCAUGGUGCUAAGCACUUUACCUAAUCUCACUCAAUCUUCACAACAAACUCUGCAAAACACAUAUAUUAUUAUCCCCAUUUUUCAGGUUAAGAUAUGGAGAUUUGCCGAGGCUGAGUAAUACAGUCAGGGUUGCACAACUACUAAGUGGCAGAGUCAGGAUUUGAACUCAUCUCUGCCUGACUUCCAAGGAUCUCUGGGUCCUCAGACAUAAGGAAAAUCACAAUGGAGAAAAUACUUGUUAUAUAUUGUAAGGAAAAUAUUAUUUCCUAAUAAAAAUAAAAGGAGUCAAAAUUACUGAAGUUGAACAUCCCAUCAAAGUUUCUCUGUCACCCUACAAGGUAGAGAGCAGUGGGAAAAAAAGGGACAGUCAGCUUUAAGUUUUGUUCCUUGAUUUGCUGCCAUGCUCCUUCAGGAUAAGAACUCCUGUGGAAUAGAUCAGACUUGGAUAUGGAAUUUAAAUAGAUAGUUCAAGUUUUUUUUCCCUCUAAUUUCAGGCUUAGAAUCUAGCAAAGUUAGAAGGGAAAUCCUUCCACUGGGUAUGUAAAAUGUUAAACAAGCCCCUGAGAGUAGAUGACUCUUUGCUUCUCUGACCUAUACUAGAAUAAUAUAUAAAAUGGAAACUGCAAUAAAUGAAUAAAACCAAAUGACACAGACACACAUCUGCACACCCACUGUCUGUGUCCGAAUGCUGAUACACUGCAGGUACAGUACAGUGACAGGGUGUUCCUGGGAAGCCGAUCAAUGAUUCCCUUCCACAGUUCAGGCUUUAUUACAGGAGGUAUUCAUUAGCUAAUUACAAUUAGUCGAGUACCUUGGUGUGCCUUCUUCAAGAACUCCUUUAAAUGCUCCUCUUUUAUUCUAUUUUCAAGUUCCAAAAGCAGAUGCUUCUUUUAUGGAAAAGCCUAAUUGCUGUGGAAUCUAAUGCAUGUCCUACUUCCAUAUCCAAAUCUCCUCCUUCCUGUUUAAUGGACAGCAUUCUCAUGACUCACCUUUGAUUUAUGGGCUGGAAGGCACCACACCUUUUUUCGGUCCUGCCUGCACAUAUUGUUAAGUGUGAUCAACUCUGGAAAAAAGCAUUCAUGAGUUAUGUCAAUAAUAUGAGACACUAAAAGAGACUUGUCCUACAAACAAAACAGUAAAUGACAAAUCCAAGUUGUUUUAGUCCCAUGUGCUUCUCUACCGCACCCUAGAGCCUAUAAUGAUUCCGUUUUCUUCAUAUUUGUGGCACAAGGAAUGCCUGAAAACUCAUCCUUAGGUAACAUGCGCCUCAUUAGUAUUUGUUCAUUCUAACAUUUUAAAUUCUUUUGAAUUGGCAAAAAGGAACAAAGAGAAGUGAAAUUUAGAUACCUAAUAGAUAGUGGAAAAUAACAAAACAGCAGCCUAUAAAUCAAUGGAAUGUGGCGACUGUGUGUUCUGUGGUGGUGGUUCUUGUUCUGGAUGGUAUAUAUCUCUGAAUAAUUUCCCAGUAUUCACCCAAUUUGAUGCUACUAUGAAAAAAUUAUGUCUCUAAAAUCCACAUUCCAAAUAACUCUUGUUGCAGAUAAUUCCCUUCUUCCCUUUUCCCAUCCUAACAGAAUACAAUUUUGUUCAGAGGACGACGGAAAAUAUAUCCCAUUAAAUACUUGCCUAACACACUGAGUGGCCUGUGACACAGGUCUGGUUAGUGAUGCUGACAAAAGGCUUCUAGGUAUUUAUGUGAAAGCUCUUGUGUUUCUACUCAAGCACUGCUCCUUCCGCCUUGAGCGCUGAUGUGAAGCCUAGAGCUGCGGCAGCCAUCUUGCAACCGUGAGAUGAGGAGCGUGAGAAUUACAGCCUACAGCUAAGGGUGGCAGAGAAGAAUGGCAGGAGCCUGGGUCCAGGAUGGCACCACUGCCUCCUUUACUAGCUUCAGACUUCUUAUUGCUUGAAAUAAAUGCCCAUCACAAUUGUUUAAGUCACUGCUGCUAUGGUUCUUUGAUGCUUGCAGGUAAAGGCUACAAUAACUAAUACAGGCUUACAGACACCUUAGCUUCUGUUUCUAAAUUCCCAAAUUAAAGCUAUACAUUUCUUUUAAAUUCAGAAAGAAGCUAAGUAGCCGUGUUGCCCUUAUUUGGGGUCUGGCAUUGACACUCCACAACAGCCUCUUGCAUUCAUUACAAUCAACUAGAGACAGACAAAUACUGGAGUUAAAUGGGGGAAAAAAAGAAAUUAUAAGCGUAUAGGUAAUUAUGAAUAGUUACUGGAUCUCACAGUGAGGGACAACUAUGUAUAAAAUCAAUGGAAUUAUAACCUUUAGAUGGGCAAAAACCAAGUCUGAUGAGACCAAGUAUUGCCAAGGUUGUGGGGAAAUAAGAUCUCUCACAUACUGCUUGUGAAGUGGGUGGACUGGGCAACUACUUCAGAGGACAGUGUUUCCACAUCUAGUAAACAUACCUUCUGCUCCAGAAAUCCUUGCACAUGUGCACAAGGGCUAUGCACAAGAAUGUUUACUGUAGCACCAUCUUGUAGCAGUGAAGCCCUAGACAUAGUCUAGACGUCCAUCAAUAGGGUGAUGGAUAAAAACAUUGUGAUACAGUCUUAACAUAUAAAAACUAAAAAGCAAAACUCAGAUCUCCACAUCAACAGGGACGGAUUUAGUAGCAUGCUGAAGCUAGCUCAUGAGAACUAAAUGCUAACAUUUCAGUUUUGUGAGCUGGCUGAUGUUACUUCUAUAGCUUGGUAUAAGCUAUGUUAAGAGUAUUUACAACAUGGAAAUUAGCAAAAGCUACAUAUCAUUCCCUCCCCACAAAAGCUGGUUGUUAAACAUUUACUAGCACGUCACUGGACAGACUUCAAAAAAACAGUUAAAGACAUGUUUCAGGGGAGAGGAAAGUUUCAGUGAUGCAAGAUGAAUUAGUUGAAGAGAUCUACAUAGCAUCGUAUUAAUACACAGUCAACAGUGCUGUAUUAUACACUUUAAAAUUUAUUAAAGAUGAGAGUUUGUGUUAAAUGUUUUCACCAUACAUGCACAUAUCCCAAAAUAAAGGGACACAAGGAAACUUUUGGAGCUUAUAGUUAUGUCUGUUAACUUGACUGUGGUGAUGGCUCCAUGGAUGUAGGCAUAUGUCCAAACUCAUCCAACUGUAUGCAUUAAAUAUGUGCAGUUUAUUGUGUGCCAGUUAUAUACCUCAAUAAAGCUCUUUUUAGAAAAAAGGCAAGUUGCAGGAUGAAAACAGUAUGAUAGCACAUACCUAAAGUUUAAAGAACAUGUUGAGACAUGUAAUAUUUGUAAUACUAAUAAGAUAUAGUCUAGAAGGACAGAUACCAACUUGUGAUAAUCAUUAUCUCUGGAGAGGGGCCACGUAAUAGGUGUGGUAAAGGGGAAAAGGGGGCUUAGGUUUUUUAAUCUGUUAUGUUCUAUUUACUUAAAAAUAUUUGAAGCCAAAACAAUGCACUAAUGUUGUUCAUUUCUGGGUGGUAAAUAUAAAAUGCUUACUCUCCUCUUUGUCUAUUAUUUAAAUUUCAAAAUAAAAGAGGCAAAAUGAAAUGAGAGUCAAAGAAAAUUUGCUCAUCACUUUUCAUUGCCUGUUGAUGAGAGUCUGCAGGAAUCCCACUGCUGGUAGAGACGUAAAAUGAUGCAGCCACUGUAAAAGCUAGUUUUGUGGUUCCUCAAAAAAUCAACAUAGAAUUACCAUAUGACCCACCCAUUCCAUUCUUAGUCAUAUACCCAAGAGAUUGAAGAGCAUAUGUUCAAACAAAGUGUUUGUUUGAACACACACCUGUGUUGUACACAGUUGUUCAUGGUAUUAUUUGUAGUGUUGUUUAUAAUAGUAAAAAGGUGGGAACAACCCAAAUGUCCCUCAACUGCUGGGGAAUGGAUAAAGAAAAUGUGGUUCACAACUACUAGGUUGGGAAGAAUGAAAAUAUAACAAGUGUUGAGGAUGUGGAAAUAUUGGAACGCUGCUACAUUACUGUUGGAAAUGAACAAUAGUACAGCCACUCUGGAAAAUACUCUGACGGUUCCUCAAAAAGUUAGACAUAAAGCAACCAUAUGACCCAGAAAUUUCACCCCUUAGUGUAACUUAAGAGAAAUAUGCAUAGUCAAAAAAACUCUGUACACAUGUUCCUCAACUUAUGAUGAGGUUACAACCUGAUGAUAAACCCAUUGUAAGCUGAAAAUCUCAUAAGUUGAAAAUGCAUAAUACACCUAACCUACCAAACAUCAUAGCUUAACCUAACAUAACUUAAACAUGCUCAGAACACUUAUAUUAGCCUACUGUUAGGCAAAAUCAUCUAACACAAGCUUGUCCAACCCAUGGCCUGAGGGCUGCAUGCAGCCCAGGAACAGCUUUGAAUGCAGCUCAACACAAAGUUGUAAAUUUUGUUAAAACAUUAUGAGACUUUUUUGUGAUUUUUUUUUUAGCUCAUCAGCCAUCAUUAGUGUUAGUGUAUUUUAUAUGUGGCCCAAGACAAUUCUUCUUCUUCCAAUGUGGCCCAGGGAAGCCAGAAGAUUAGACACCCCUGGUCUAAGACAAAGCCUAUUUUAUAGUAAAGUAUUGAAUAUCUCAUGUAAUUUAUUGACUAUUGUUCUGAAAGUGAAAAGCAGAAUGGUCAUAUGGGUACUCGAAGUAUGGUUUCUACUGAAUGCAUAUCAUUUUUACACCACUAUAAAGUUGAAAAAUCAUAAGUUAAGCCAUCAUAAGUCAGGGACUGUCUGUACAUGAAUAUUAAUAGCAGCAUUAUUCUUUACAGCCAAAAUGUGGAAGCAAUCUGAAUGUGCGUGAAUUGAAUGAAUCAAUGAAAUGUGGUGUAACAUUCGAAUGCAUUAUACAACCAUCGUUAGGGCUGAAUAAUGUACAACAGAAUAUUAUUCAGCCAUUAAAGGAAUGAAGGACUGAUUCAUGCUACAACAUGGGUGGACUUUGAAAACCUUAUUCCAAGUGAAAGAAGCCAGUAACAAAAGAUCACAUGUUGUAUUCAUUAGUUUAUAUGAAAUAUCCAGAAUAGGCAAAUCGAGACAGCCAAAAAGCAGAUUAAUGGUUGUCAGGGGCUGGGAGGACAGGGGAUGGGGAGUGACUACUUAACUGGUACAGAAUUUCCUGUUCUGGAAUUAGGUAGUGAUGGUGGUUACACAAUAUUGUGAAUGUACCAAAAGUCAUGAAUUGUAUGCUUUUAAAUGGCUAAAAUGAUGAAUUUUAUGUUAUAUAAAUUUUACCUCAAUAAAAAAAGUUAUUUAACUAUGACAUAUUAAAUGAUACUGAUUCUAGAGAGACUGCAUUGUAAGAAAAGAUGUGUCUCAGGGUUGAUAAAAUGUUAUAUAUUUGAUGACACAGAAAUCUGGAGCUUCUGGCC